UCAUUAUGUUUUGUGAACCUGAGCAUUUCACAUCGCCGUAGUGAUAAGCUGAGAUUUUGAAAUGAAAAUGGCAAUUCUGUUGUGGAAGUUAUACACAUUCCAAUCUCUUUUGUAUUUGUCAUCUUACAUAAUAAUUCUGGAAAACUCUUGAGUCUCUUACAAAAAGAGAGGUCCAAUUCCUUCAGAGAGGGCAGCCAUAAGGGUGGAAAAUUCUCAAGCUUGGUGCAUGCCCAUGCAUUUAAGAUUUCAAGUUUAUUUAGGUUCCCAAUCGAAUCGUGAAUUGCAAUUAAAUUAUCACAAAAUCGAAACGAGAAUUUUUCUAAAUUUGGAAGACCUGAGACAUUGGGUAUAUGGGUUAAAUAUAGACAAUAGUCCAAUGUCAAGACUUUCAUAUCCUCAAACCUCUGCAUAAACACAAAGAAGAAACAAACAAAUAAAUUAAAAAUCAAACACUAUACUCUCAUAGUGAUAUUAUUUUCUUGACAGAAACAAAAUCAUUGUGAAUUUAUAAAUAUAUACAAUUAGAAAAUGAAAUUAUUUCACUUGCCUUGCAACAAAUAAUAGAUGAUAGAGACUCUGAACAACAUCCAUUCCAUUUCAAUACUCUCAAACUCCUUGGAAGAUACUUGAGACCUUUAGAAAAAGAGACAUUUUCAAUAAUAAGUGUUUUGAGAUUUGUCAUCUUCUUGAAGGUCUUUCCAUUCCAGUCUAUUACCAGAUCCAUUGAGGGAGAAUUCAGAUAUAUCAUCUCAAUUUUACUUGUUCCCUUUUAACAGAUAAAAAAAUAAAAAUGAAUCAACCACAAUACAAAUAAAAUAUUGAGAACAUAUAAUGUAAUUAAGGGUAAAAUAAAUAUUUGUUCAUAGAUAUCAAUCUUACUUUGUUUUCCUGUAAAAUAUGAACUAUGUCAUUGCGACACCACAACCUACUACGCUUUUCAGGCUCUUUGGGUGAUUCUUUCCGGACGAUUUCUUUACCCAUGACCUCUAGCAAGUCAUGUAAUGUCACUUUUUUCCACCAAAUAAUUUUUAUGAGAGACUUAUCAACCAACCCUCCAAUGUGGCUAUUUAUGCGAUAACCAUAAUGACGUUGAAGUAUCUCUUCGACUUCUGCCAAUCUACAUCCUUUGAAGAAACAAGCAAUAUCCAAAAAGACAAUUUGUUGUUCUUCGUCCAAAGCAUCAAAGCUUACUUUAAGUAUCUUUUGGAUAUCUUCAUGUGGAAUUCUUUCAUACUUAUCUAAUGUAGACUCACAUUCUGAAAUAUUCUUUCCAAACAAGUUGGAACCCACUACUUCUAUAGCUAAUGGAAGGCCAGAAGCAUACACAACUGCACGUUUUAAAAUCUCUUCAUAACUUGAAGGAACUUUGUAACUUUUAAAAGCCAUCCACCUCAACAAUUCAAGAGCAUUUUCCCUAGACAUCCCUUUUACUUCAUGCAUAAUUUCUAUCUCAUGAUUGCUUAGUAAGUGUUUGUUACGAGUGGUAAUGAUAACUCUGCUUCCACAACCGAACCAAUCACGUCCUCCGGCCAAAGCAUGCAGUUGUUCCAAAUUGUGCACAUCAUCGAGAAUCAAAAGAAUCUUCUUUGUAUGUAGCCUUUCCUUUAUAUAAGGAAUUCCCUCACUAACACCUCCUAACUUAAUUUUCAGUGAAAGUGUUUUUAAAAGGAGUUCCUCCUGGAGAUGUUUCAAUUGAUUUGAAGCUGAAUUCUCUCUCACAUUUUCAAGAAAACAUGAGCAUUCAAAUUGAUCAGCAAUAAAAUUAUAAAUUGCUUUUGCAAGUGUUAAUUUACCCAUGCCUCCAAUGCCAUAAAGUCCUACCAUGCGGACUCCAUCAUAAGAUCAUUCAUCAAGAAGCGAUUUCACUUGUUGUACUCGAGACUGCAAUCCAACAGGGUAAUUGGCAACAUGUAAGGGCUGCCGACUGAUCUUGUUAGAGACGUAUUUGACUAUCUCUCCAAUAAACUUGUAUUCAUAUCUAUUCAUGUCCAAUAAGAUAAGUCAGUAUGUAACAACAUCACAGUCACACCCAUGUACUCAUAAUAUAUCAUACAUUUCUAAAUUCAAACUAUUUUGACUUAUAAAUAACUAAUACUUGUUUAAAAACGUAAAUAAAAAGGUGUUUCCAAUUUAGGCUUUCGGUUGGUAUUAUUGAGGAAUAAAUAUUAAAUAAAUAAAAUGCAAAAAGGAAAACAAGAAUUAAGUAAAGAGGAGUACCCAGGACUAAAAUGGUAGCCGGACAAGUUAGCAGCUUCGGUCAGAGCUAACUUCCAUUGAUGCAACCGCUCCAUGUUUUUAUUGUUAUUUUGGAAACUCUUUCAGUGAUUAGUGAGAUGUUCACCAUAACUACCACUUUGAUGUCAUAUGUGAGUAGGAUCCACGACAUAGAAAACAGGCAAAACAAGACGACCCUUUGUCUUGUAGCAGUGAAUGAUGUGGACAAGUUCGUCCAAACAAAAUGAAGAAGAGGCAUAGUUGAUAGAAAACACAGGAAUGAAGAUCCUAGACUCUUCAAUGGCAUUGUCGAGUGAUGGUUUGAUUUCAUCCCCUCUUUGCAGGUCACGGUCAUCAAUGAAGGUGUGGAUUCCUUUGUCAGUAAGAGCCUUGUAGAGAUGACCAGUAAAACCGUUACGAGUGUCACUGCCCCUGAAGCUGAGGAACACUUGGUAAGUGAAUCGAUAGGAAAAUGAAGAGAAUGAGGAAGGUGAUUGCAUAGCCAUGAAAAUAGAGAGAAACUGGAUGAAAAAAGAGUUUGAGAAUGCAGAAUAUGAGUUUAAGUUUUUGUGGUAUGUGAUGUGAGAGUCUUCAGUAUGUAACUAUAUAACAAGGAGAAAACUUAUGACAAAAAUGGUCUGUUAAACUUCCUGACUACUUCCUAUAGCCGUGUGGACCAAUCACACAUUAAUUAAAUAACAUUCUACUGCCACAUCUUCUUGCUAAUUUCUUCAAUGUGAUUGCUGUUCAACUUUCGGAAAAAACUAAAAUAAAUAAAUUAAAAACCAAAGAAUAGUGUAAUAAGUACCGGAACUAUUAUUUUUGUUUUUGACGCUUAUAGUUUUAUUUGGACACAUAAGUCAAAUUAAAUACAAACAAACAAAUAACAAUUUGGUAAUAUUAAAAAAUGUGAAAAAUGCAACGAGUGCUUACAUAAUUGCAAGGUUGAUUAUAUUAGCUCUAGAGUACAAUGGGGGUUCUUAAUUUAGUUUAAUGGAAUAUUGGUUAGACAGCAAGAAGAAAACAAGAUUAUGAACAAUGGCAACAUCCAGGAAGUUAGACCAUUGACCAGAGGAUUAAUUAAAGAACUUGCUUACAUCACUAUGUUUUCUUAUAAUUAAUAACUUUAAAAAGAAUCAGCAUUAGGUCCAAGGUUUGAUUCCUGACCGAUGUAUGGAAAAACAGAAGAAUUAUUAAUUUAAUAUCUUUUUUUAUGUUAUUAUUAAAAUAUAAAGAGUAUCUCUAAAAAAAAUAUUAAGAGUAAAAAAUUUAGACGUAAAAAAAAAAAAAGACAAUAAAAUAUAAAGAGGUGAUUAUUUGAAUUGGUGUUAGACAUUAAAAAAAAUACAGACCUGAAAAUGAUAUAGGAAAAACAAUUUAAACCUACCAAUAAAAAAUUAAACGUCGCAUUUGCAUGUGUUAAGAAGUUCAAAAUAGUAAAUUUUGUAUCGUUGUGUACAAUAUUGCACAAGUCAGACAAAUCCAAGAUGUUUAUAACAUUUCCAAGGUAUAAACAUCAACGAAAAUCCUAGAGCUAACUAAAAAUAUAGUUACUUCGACUAAGACAUGAGUGACCUUAUUUAUUUGUCUCUCAAGCACAAUGUGAGAGUUUGUAAAUUAAGAAGCAAAACUAAUUAUUCAUUAUAAUAAAACAUAACCAAACAAUGUAUAGCAUCCUCUCUAACAUUGUUGAAUGCUUCCACCACUGCUUUAUCGAAAACAAAAUUCAAGUUAUAAAAGUUUAGAUCAUGAAUAUCGCUUCACCCAAAUUCAUAUUACACGUGUUUCUGGCGAUCACAAAAACACCUUCAUCACCUCUUAAGCACAUGCCAAUAUAUGUCCAAUUUUGCCGAAAUGAAAAUUAAGCAUCUAUAUUGCACUUAUACCUUCCUUCUUGCAGCCCUUGCCACCGUGCUUUGUGUUGUCUGCUGCAUCAUCGCAAUCUUCUGCCACAUCAAUUGUUUUUGAUGUACGGGAGCCAUGCCUACCUCUUCUGGUCGUGGCAUUAGCUAUGAACCAGUCCUCUUGAUGCCACUUCUGCAAUUUACUCAUUCACAUCUUGUCAAACCUUCCUGCUUUGUUGCUUCUAUAGACUCCAUAAAGUAACAACCAUAUAGUUAGCAAUAACAAGAAGACUGUUGUGUUUGUUGUAUUUGUUUUCAAUAAAUCUUUAUUUAAUUUCAUUCCAUAUCCUUCAAUCCAAUAGCCCUUUUUCUUUUCUUUAAUUAUUAUUGUUUCAGUGUGAUUCUAUGGAUAUAAUUAUGUGAUUCUAUGGAUAUUUAUGUGAUUCUAAAAAAGAAAUUCUGAUUGCAAUAUCCUUCAACACGUACUUCUUAACCUUUUUAAUCACAUUCUCAGGCAUCAUAGAUAAAAUCUGAAGCUUAAACUCCACAUAGAUCCGUUCAUUUUUUAAAAGUGCUUUGUCCAUUUCAGACUCAAAAUUGAUCCCGUGAAAUAUUUUACAGCAUUGAAUAUUUUCUUCCAAAUUCAUAUCAAACAAAUAUGUAUGUCCCGAAGAAGGCAGACAUUUAAAUUGGAGUUCUGGAAAUGUACAUUCAUAACCAUUGACAAAAAAAUUAAAUCCUAAAGUAUACUUAACAUCCGGAAGAUAUAUAUUACGCAUUGUCGAUUAUAUGUGAAAUACUACACAUCAAAUACUAUUGCAAGAAAAAACAACAACAAACCUGACUCAACAACAUUCUUCUAUUUGAGCAACUCAAUGAUUUACAUCCUAAUGCACGAAGACAUUUGAGAUUCGGUGGAAACCCUCUAAGGUGACAUUCACUAAGGCACUCGGGAAGAAUUUUGAAAUUGCCAAAGGAUAAGUCUAGAAAUUUCACAUUAACACACACGACUUGAGAACUAUUUGGAGACAUUCAUAUGGGAGAUAGUAACUUCCGAGAUAAAGAACUUCCACAUUCGAAAACAUUAUUGAAUACAUUUUAUCAUUAUGUUUUGGGAACCUGAGCAUUUCACAUCCCUGUAUUGAUAAGCUGAGAUUUUGAAAUGAAAAUGGCAAUUCUCUUAUGGAAGUUAUACACAUUCCAAUCUGUACAAAUGUGUGUGUUAAAGGGUGUGUUGCUUGUAAUCCUCGGAAUACAAACACACAUUUGAAUUUUUUUUUUUUUUUUUUUUUAUGUGGAAAUUUCUCUUUAGAGUGUGACUAUAUUUUGAAAUGCAACAUACAUUACAUUGAAAUACCAUAAUGUAAUAUUUUGGUAACUAAUAAUCAAACAAUUGAGCUGAAAAAUUAAAAAAUAUAAGUUAAGCAUCCAACUUUUUGAAAUGAAGGUUCACAUCAUUGUACAGAGAUUGUGACGAACCAUCUAUCGGUAUGAAAAUAUGUACAUACUCUUGUAUUCUUAAAAGCAAUUUAAUCAUACAUACAUGACUAGUACAUUGUUUUAAAAAAAAAAUAUCAAGAUGGAUUAAAAAAAAGAGGCUUGCUAUUAAUUACAAACCUAAACUUUGACGAAACACACGAAUUCUCCCGUAUCUUCUUUCGAUAAAUCACUUUUCUGCCAAAUGUGAAAAACACAAGUUCUGUCUCGGAAACUUCCAAGUUCUGAUCUUCAUCUGAUUUUCUCUUUCUAUAAGGAUUGAUGAAUAUCACAUCCUGCUCUAUGCUUAUUUUCUUCUUGAAUCAGUGGAUUGCAAUUUGUCUACUAAGAUUGAAAUUCUCAAAAACUGAGCUGCAGUACAACUGAGGUGCAAAGCAUAUCAAUACUCACAGCCCUUUUGAACAACCAAUUACGGAUUCUGCAGUGCGAGCGACCUUUAGACUUGUCGCAUGAUGUCUAAAGAUGGUUCCCUGACAAUGCUUAGUUUCGGUUAGAGAAAAGUUGUUUUGAACAAAAGAUACUUAUUUACAUCAACAACCAUUGAUAAAAUUAAGGCUCUUCUUUCUAACAUAUUUAGAAAAAUAUUACUAUGGAAUAACAACCAACGUUUUUAUUCAAAAGAUCUUUCAUAGAAAUUAUGAUUAAAACAAUUUAUGCUUUCAAAGUAUAAGGAUCUUACUUGUAACAACAUUCAUGUAGGAUCCGGCACAAUUUAUUAGACGCUGUAUGAGAGUGGCAAACGUCCACUGCACCUUUUAGAAGUUCGGGACUCAAGGGAUACAUCUGGAAGCCCUGAGUGAAAAGUCAAAUUUAAUACAAACAAACAAAGGACAAGUUGGUAAUAUUAACGCACAAAAUAAACACAUUAAUUGUAUUAACAACUUUUUUUAAGAAAUAUAAAAGAUGCAACGAGUGCUUACCUAUAUGGACGAAAAGAGUAUUUAGUAAACUCAUAAAAAAGCUUAAUAUUCUCUCCCCAAUUUAACGAUUCAGGUUUUCAUUGCACUAUUAGUAGAACCCUCUUUUAUAUGGUUCUACACUUUUACCAAGUGGGAAACUUCCUUCCCAUUUCGUAUUUCUGCAAAGUAACCAUCAUUUUUCUUAAAGAAAGGUAAAAACAAGGUAAAAAUUUAUGUCUUCUUAAAUUGGAUAAAAUGCUAUAACCUAAAGGUAAAGUAUGUUAUUUUAAUGGUAAAGUAUGCAGACACUGCUGAAACGAAAUGCUAUAGGCAUACAAGGAAUUCCUUGUUGCAACAAAUUUCUUAUAGAAAGUUGCCCUUAAGUCUACCAAUCAAUUAGCUACUAAAAAUAAAGUAUUGUCUAGAAUUGUUCCAAACCUGCAUGUUAGAAAUCCUUGACUUCAUAGCACAUGUGUUUGUUCAAUUGAAGGUUAAGUGUUCUGAAUUUGCAGGCUCUGAAGUGUAGAUUGUGGUAUUUUUGUUGACGAUUUAAUGAAGGAAAUAAAAUGAAUUUCAUGAAACUUAGGAUGCAGCCAUCUUGAAUUUCAUGAAAGUUAGUAAUGCAUAUCGUUGGAAGUGGCGAGAUAUUGUUAUAGAAAUUGAAAGAGAGAAAAUAAUAACCUAAUGCACCAACACAGACACGCUGACAUGACAAAUGUGAUUACAUUCAACCAAACUCGUCCCUAAUUGCUCAGCCCUACAUAUGCAUACAUGCAUGGUUUUAUAGAUUUGAGGAAACUAUAAUUUCAACUUGUAUUUCUUUGACAUUUUAAAUAUUGGUUAAUACACACUUCAUAAAGCUAUCUGUAUUUAUAAUAUGUUAGUAUUUGGAACCUAACGCUUAUUUCACAUUAUAUUCAUACUCAGUUGUUUAAUCUUGAAACAACUUCUUUCAAUUCUGUUAUAUCUUCACUUUCUCACAUUCUCACCAAAAAUCUUUCAACCAUGAAAAACAAUAAAGAACAAUCUCUUUACACCAUUGAUCUUGAUGAUUCAUCUUUGAAUCAAGCUUAUGCAACAGCAACUACACUCUUCGCAAUUCUUGGUGAAUGGAUGAUCUUGAUUCUCACAUGUUCGAUCGCCUUGUUCUUCAUCCCCCUAACUCCUUCUUUCACACUCCAUUCAACAACUUCAACUGUUCUUAAUGUUACCAAUGGAAAAACCUUCACAGCCAACUUGGGUGUCGAGUUUCUUGCGGAAUACUCCAACACUAUUGGAAGCACAAUUCACUAUGAUUCUCUUCAUUUCUUCCUCUUCCACCGUCAAGAAAACCUCUCAACUUUCUCUAUUUCAAAGCUGUUUUACAACAAACCUGUAGAUGCUUCAACUCAAGAAGCAAAGUUUCGUAACGUGUCUAUGACAAUCGAUGGAUGGAAAUUUCAUGGUAUUGGAGAGGCUUGCGGGUUGGUGUUUUUGGAUUUACGAUUUAGUGCUAAUGCGAGAUACAUUCAACCAAUGUGGCCGGUUUUGAAAGACAAGCUUGAAGGUCAUUGUGGAGAAAUGAAAGUUGAAAUGUGUGAUUCAGGUUCAAGCGUCGUUGUUAACCCGCUUCUUGCAUCGUGCGAUGUUUAUAGCGAUUUGGUGACUAACGUUCGGAUUGCGUUGUUUGGAAUGUUGAUCUUUCUUCUUGUACCAUAUGAUUUUUCGGUUAAAUUCUGUAAAUAAAAACUAUUUGGGGAAGUAGGAACUGUCAACCAAACAAAUAUUAGAAUUGAUGCAUAUAACAUGAAUCAUUAGGAGAAAGGGAGUUUUUUUUUCUUCUUCCUAUUAGAGUUGAUUUGCAUAAGGCUUUAUGGUAAUGGAUGACAAUUGGAACCAAAGUCAUUGGAUACUCACAAAAAUUGAUAGGGUAAAAAUCUGUUUUAUACGUAUGCGCAUGGGCAAGGGUAUGAUUAAAACCAACAUUUUUGUUCAAAAGAUCUUUCAUAGAGAUUAUGAUUAAAACCAUUUAUGCUUUCAAAGUAUAAGGAUCUUACUUGUAACAAAAUUCAUCUAGGAUCCGGCACAAUUUAUUAGACGCUGAGUGAAAGUGGCAAACAUCGACUGCACCUUUUAGAGAUGGAUUCCCAUACUUUCUUCAGACCUGGUUUCUUCUGAUAUCUCUGAAGAAUCCUUAUGAAAUAGUUGAACAAAAUUCAAGUUAUAACAGAUGUGAUAACUAAGUUGAACUAACACAAUAUGCAUUUAUGCUGCAUUUAUAUCACUCUAAACCUCCUGUUUGCUUAUAAGAUAGUCAAAUUAUUAUCAGUAAUUUAGAAAAUAACAUAUGUCUGUAUUGGGUACCCCAAACAUGCCCUCGAUCAGACGUGUGUCUACAAAGCAUUUUCGACAGAAUCUUAUAUCAUGUCUCGUCAUUUGAAAAACUCUUCCAGAUAGAAACAAUUAAUUGGUUUAUAAAGAUAAUAAUGAUAAUGAUGUACCUGGAUCAAGGAAUAUAUCUAUCCAUGGUGUUCCUUUUCUAUUGUUUCAUUAAGCACCAAGUUCCGCAUGCCUGACACUAAAGCUAGAUGUUGCUGCUGCAAAAUUUCUGUCUCUGAAACUCCCACUUCCACAAAUCUAUGCUUUUUCAGCGAAGGAUGAAAUUGUGAUAAUGAAGCAUUGAGAUAUUCAUCUAAUUUUCUCUUUCUACUAUAAGAAUUGGUGAAUAUCACAUCCUCAUUCGUGUUGUUUUUCUCCUUCCACACGUGGAUUCCCAUUUCUGUACUUCUUAACCUUUUAAUCACAUUCACAGGAACCCCAAUGAAAAAAUGAAGCUUAAACUCCACAUAGAUCCAUUCAUUUUUUAAAAGUGCUUUGUCCAUUUCAGACUCGAAAUUGAUCCCGUGAAAUAUUUUACAGCCUUGAAUAUUUUCUUCCAAAUUCAUAUCAAACAAAAAUGUAUGUCCCGAAAAAUGCGGCGAUCUAAAUUUGAAUUCUGGAAAUGUACAUUCAUAACCAUUGACAAACAAAUUAAAUCUGAAAUUAUAUUGAACAUCCGGAAGAAUAAUUAUAGAAGUUAUAGAAGGGAUCUUUUUACAGAACCAGAAAGAAAUUGAUUGACCCCUGCUUUGAUGCUCGAACCAAUCUGGAAUCCUAUUCCUAAUCCCCUCUGUUCCGUUUGGGAAAUAAAAUGAGGUGCACCCAGCCUCAUGUAAUUGCUGUUAGUUUAGCAUAAGAUAUAUAUUACACAUUGUUGAUUAUAUGUGAAAUACUACAUAUCAAAUACUAUUGCAAGAAAAAACAACAACAAACCUGACUCAAUAACAUUCUUCUACUUGAGGAACUCAAUGAUUUACAAUCAUAUGCAUCAAGAUAUUUGAGAUUCGGUGGAAUCCCUCUAAUUUCCUCAAGAUGCGUGUUGAAAUCCAAUAGGAGGGUCCUCAGAAGGUGACAUUCACUAAGGCACUCGGGAAGAAUUUUGAAAUUGCCAAAGGAUAAGUUUAGAAAUUUCACAUUAACACACGACUUAAGAACUAUUUGGAGACAUUCACAUUCAUAUGGGAGAUCGGAAGUAUUGAGACGAAGAAAUUCCACAUUUGAAAACAUUGUAGAAUACAUUUUAUCAUCAUGUUUUGGGCACCUGAGCAUUUCACAUCCCUCUAGGUAUAAGCUGAGAUUUUGAAAUGAAAAUGGCAAUUCUCUUGUGGAAGUUAUACACAUUCCAAUCUCUUUUGUAUUUGUCAUCUUACAUAAUAAUUCUGGAAAACUCUUGAGUCUCCUACAAUAAGAGAUGUCCAAUUCCUUCAGAGAGGGCAGCCAUAAGGGUGGAAAACUCUCAAGCUUACUGCAUCCACAUGCAUUUAUGAUUUCAAGUUUAUUUAGGUUCCAAAUCGAAUCGUGAAUUGCAAUUAAAUUAUUACAAUAUUAAAACGAGAAUUAUUCUAAAUUUGGAAGACCUAAGACAUUGGGUAUAUGGGUUAAAUAUUGACAAUUGUCCAAUGUCAAGACUUUCAUAUCCUCAAACCUCUGCAUAAACACAAAGAAGAAACAAACAAAUAAAUUAAAAAUAAAACACUAUACUCUCGUAAUGAUAUUAUUUUCUUGACAGAACAAAAUCAUUGUGAAUUUAUAAAUAUAUACAUUUAGAAAAUGAAAUUAUUUCACUUGCCUUGCUGCCAAUACAAGAUGAUAGAGACUCUGUAGAACAUCCAUUCAAUUUCAAUACUCUCAAACUGCUUGGAAGAUACUUGGGAUCUUUAGUAAAAGAGACAUUUUUAAUAAUAAGUGUUUUGAGAUUUGUCAUCUUCUUGAAAGCCUUUCCAUUCCAGUCUAUUACCAGAUCCAUUGAGGGAGAAUUCAGAUAUAUCAUCUCAAUUUUACUUGUUCCCUUUUAACAGAAAAAAAAAAAAAAAAAAGAAUCAACCACAAUACAAAUAAAAUAUUGAGAACAUGUAAAUGUAAUUAAGGGUAAAAUAAAUAUUUGUUCAUAGAUAUCAAUCUUACUUUGUUUUCCUGUAAAAUUUGAAUUAUGUCACCACGACACCACAACCGACUACGCUUUUCAGGCUCUUUAGGUGAUUCUUUCCGGACAAUUUCUUUACCCAUGACCUCUAGCAAGUCAUGUAAUGUCACUUCAUUCAAAGUGUAACAUUCACUAAUUUUUAUGAGAGACUUAUCAACCAAUCCUCCAAUGUGGCUCUUUAUGCAAUAACCAUAAUGAAGUUUAAGUAUCUCUUCGACUUUUGCCAAUAUACAUCCUUUGAAGAAACAAGCAAUAUCCAAAAAGACACUUUGUUGUUCUUCGUCCAAAGCAUCAAAGCUUACUUUAAGUAUCUUUUGGAUAUCUUCGUUUGGAAUUCUUUGAUACUUAUCUAAUGUAGACUCACAUUCUGAAAUACUCUUUCCAAACAAGUUGGAACCCACUACUUCUAUAGCUAAUGGAAGGCCAGAAGCAUACACGACUGCACGGUUUAAAAUCUCUUCAUAACUUGAAGGAACUUUAUAACUUUUAAAAGCCAUCCACCUCAACAAUUCAAGAGCAUUUUCCCUAGACAUCCCUUUUACUUCAUGCAUAAUUUCUAUCUCAUGAGAAGAUAGGCAAGAGCUUUGUACCUUAUCGGGUAGUCCACCCUUGGAUCCUUUGUACUCCAACUCCACUGCUUUGGUGGCACACUCGUCCAGGAUAUCAUCAAGGACGUAGGCAGCAUCUUUAAGCUUAAGCAACCAAUCCUUGAUAGCUUUGUUAGUAAAUUGUUUCUCCUCAGUAUCUUCAAGUGUAGCUUUGAUUGUAGUGAGCAUGCUUGAAAAACUUUUGAAGUCUUUUUCAAAACCAAGAAGUAGGCCAAGCUCCUUCUGAACGAGUGAGCUCAAAUUAUCAAGGACAAGUUCAAGCACAGCUUCAGCCAUCUUCUAGGUUUACUCGCAAAAUUAAAGAACAGGUUUGUUUGUAUGACUGAGAAAUGUAGUGUGGUAGUAUAAAGCAAGAAGAUUAACAAUAAGGAUUGUUAAGUGAAGUGUUAGAAAAAGUUAUGCGUCAACAUGUGAAGUCAACAAUGAAUGAUCUUUAUGGAAGUUUUGUGGAAACAAUCAAAUGAAAUUGACAGUCCCACCACCAAUAAUGCUCUCUGGAUUUUUACUUAAUAGCUGCUGAAGUUUCUUCUAUAUGGAAAUAAAAAUGUUAGGUGAGAAAAUAAAAAUCUUCACCACUGUAGGUCAUAACCAGUUGAAUUGCUUUGUAAGAGUUUUGCUUGCUUAACCAUUGCUCCGGGCCAAGUUUAACAUUCUCCUUAAUGCUCCGGGUCGUAACUCUUCAAUCCCGUAAAAAAUAGUAAAAUGUAAUUUAAGUUAUUAGUUUUUUUUAUUGGAAAUUAGUUAUUACCAUUUAUAGUUGUGAAGUUUGGGUACUUCAUGAUGCACUCAGAAGCAGCUAGAGAGCGCUAAACCUAGAUUGAAAAGAAAAAAGUUUGCAUGCGACAAACUUGUAAAAAUAGGGUUGCAGAAUCCACCAGAAAUUGAGAAAACUCUAUAAAAUAUUAUUGAAUGACUCUAUAAAAUAUAAAAUAUUAUUGAAUGAAUAAAAGUUUCUUCUUAGACUAUAACUGUUAAUAAAUGGGAAAAUAAUAAAACCCUAAUGGGCUGAAAAUCCAAAAUAGAACAUAAAAAUAGACAUUAUUAAAAUUGGCCUAAAAUAAUAAAUUACUAAGGCUUUGUUUGAGAGUUUUGAGGGGAAGGAAAGGAAAGGCUAAGGAGGGGAAGGAAAGGAAAGGGAGGGAAGGGAGAAAGGAGGGAAAACCUUCCCCUUGUUUGGGAGUUAAAACACUCCACCAAAGAAAGGAGAUGAAUGACUUAUGUUAUAAUUUUACUAUUUUACCCUUUUUUCUCUUAAAAUUAAUACAAUGUGUUCUAGUUUGUAAUUUAUCUUCUAAUUUAUUCAAAAGAGCUUAUCUCAUUAAAAAUAAAUUAUUUAUAGAAUAAAAAAAAAUUAUUACAAUCACUUUAUAAAAAACAACUUAUUUAUACAAAACAACUUAUUACGGUCUCUUUUUUUAAAAAUAGCUUAUCUCGUGAAAAACAAAUUAUUACUAUCUUUUUUUUUAGAAACAACUUAUUCAAAACAACUUAUUUAUGCAAAACAACUUAUUACAAUCUCUUUUUUCAAAAACAGCUUAUUCAAAACAACUUAUUUAUAUAAAACGGCUUAUUACGACAUUUUCAAAAACAACUUAUUCAAAAUAGCUUAUUUCUACAAAAUAGCUUUUUACGACCUCAUUUUAAUAAACAACUUAUUCAAAACAACCUAUUUAUGCAAAACAGCUUAUUACAACCUCUUUUAAAAAAACAACUUACUCAAAAGAGCUUAUUUAUGCAAAACAGCUUAUUACGACAUCUUUUUCAAAAACAGCUUAUUCAAAACAGCUUAUUACGACCUCUUUUCAAAAACAACUUAUUUAUACAAAACAACUUAUUACGAUCUCUUUUUCAAAAACAGCUUAUUCAAAACAUAUUAUUUAUGAAAAACAGCUUAUUCAAAAUAACUUAUUUAUGCAAAACAACUUAUUAUGAUAUGUUUUGAAUAAGUUGUUUUUGAAAAAGAGGUCGUAAUAAGUUGUUCUGAAUAAGCUGUUUUUGAAAAAGAGAUCGUAAUAAGCUGUUUUGCAUCAAUAAGGUGUUUUUCUAAAAGAGGUCGUGAUAAGUUGUUUUACAUAAAUAAGUUGUUUUUGAAAAUGAGGUCGUAAUAAGUUGUUUUGCAUAAAUAAGCUGUUUUUGAAAAAGAUGAUGUAAUAAGUUUUUUUUUUAUUUUUAUAAAUAAGUUGUUUUGAAUAAGCUAUUUUUUGAAAAAGAGAUCGUAAUAAGUUGUUUUUUAUAAAUAAGCUGUUUUUGAAAAGAGGUUGGAAUAAGCUGUUUUGGAUAAAUAAGCUGUUUUUAAAAAAGAGGUCGUAAUAAGCUGUUUUGCAUAAAUAAGUUGUUUUUGAAAGAGAUCUUAAUGAGCUGUUUUGCAUAAAUAAGCUGUUUUCGAAAAAGAGGUCGUAAGAAGCUGUUUUGCAUAAAUAAGAUGUUUUGAAUAAGCUGUUUUUGAAAAUGAGGUCGUAAUAAGCUGUUUUGCAUCAAUUAGUUGUUUUGAAUAAGUUGUUUUUUGAAAAGAGGUCGUAAUAAGCUGUUUUGCAUCAAUAAGCUGUUUUGAAUAAGUUGUUUUUUGAAAAGAGGUUGUAAUAAGCUGUUUUGCAUCAAUAAGUUGUUUUGAAUAAGUUGUUUUUUUAAAAAGAGGUCGUAAUAAGCUGUUUUGCAUAAAUAAGUUGUUUUGAAUAAGCUGUUUUUUAAAAAAGAGGUCGUAAUAAGCUGUUUUGUAUAAAUAAGUUGUUUUGAAUAAGCAAUUUUUGAAAAUGAAGUCGUAAUAAGUUGUUUUGUAUAAAUAAGUUGUUUUGAAUAAGUUGUCUUUGAAAAAGAUGGUAAUAAUUCAGUAAUGUCUAAAAUUGGAAUUUUGAAUUAUUAUGAGGGCAAAAUUGUCAAUUAGUAUGUUUAACCCCCCAAAACCUCCAAAUUUGGAGGAACUUUAAAAUUUGACAAAUGAAACCCUUUAAAACCCCCAUAACCUUUCCCUUGUUUCUUUAAAGAGAGUUUUUUUUCUUCUUCUUAUUAGAGUUGAUUUGCAUAAGGCUUUAUGGUAAUGGACGGCAAUUGGAACCAAAGUCAUUGGAUACACAAAAAUUGAUAGGGUAAAAAUCUGUUUUAUAAGUAUGCGCAUGGGCAAGGAUAGUUACCUGUACAAAUGUGUGUGUUGAAGGGUGUGUUGCUGGUACUCCUCAGAAUACAAACACACAUUUGUUUAGAGUGUGACUAAACCUAUUUUGAAAUGCUACAUACAUUACAUUGAAAUACCAUAAUGUAAUAUUUUGGUAACUAAGAAUCAAACUCUAAUAGAAAUUGUGAUGAACCAUCUGUCGGUAUGAAAAUAUGUACAAACUCUUUAAUCAUACAUACAUGACCAGUACAUUGUUUUUUUAAAAAAAAAAAUAUCAAGAUAGAUUAAAAAAAAUAGACUUGCUAUUAAUUACAAACCAGAACUUUGACGAAACACAAGAAUACUCCCGUUUCUUUGUUCGAUAAAUAGCUUUUCUACCAAAUAUGGAAAACACAAGUUUUGUCUCUGAAACUUCCAAGUUCUGUUCUUCAUCUGAUUUUCUCUUUCUAUAAGGAUUGAUGAAUAUCACAUCCUGCUCCAUGCUUUUUUUCUUCUUGAACACAGUGGAUUCUAAUUUGUCUACUAAGAUUGAAAUUCUCAAAACUCUCCAACUGAGGUGCAAAGCAUAUCAAUACUCACUGCCCUUUCGAACAACCAACGGAUUCUGAAGUACGAGCGACCUGUAGACUUGUCGCAUGAUGACUAAAGAUGGUUUCCUGACAAUGCUUAGUUUUGGUUAGAGAAAAGUUGUGUAAAUUACCGACAAAUGUUCAAUUUUAUGCGAGAGAUUUUUGUUAAAAAGUGGAGAUAGGGAGAUAUAAGGUUGAUAUUAGAAACAUAACGUCCUCAUGUUUAUUUCAACAUGAGAGGAUCCACUCUUGAAAUUGUCAUACACACCAUUAUGCAGAAAACAAACAUUCUAAGUUUGUAACGUAAUUCAGUUCUCUUCUUGAUGUAUAAUCCACUCAUGCCAACCUUAACGUAAUGCUUAGAAGUACAAAACCAAAACUGAUUUAUGAAAUGAAAUUCUCCACUUCCAUUUUCAAGAUAAAAACAAAAUAGAGAAAAACUUUUUUACACCGUCAAGUUCAUAUAAAUGUUUCCGCAACAGAUUUUUUUUUUUUUUGCAAGUUUAAAUCUUUCAAACUAGCUAUUGAACUAUGAUAUAAGAUUAAGUUUCUAUCUAAUAUGACAUUUUGGACAAAAGAUACGCAUUUACAACCAAAGAUAAAAUUAAGGCUUCUUUCUAACAUAUUUAUAAAAAUAUUACUAUGGAAUGACAACCAACAUUUUAUUCAAAAGAUCUUUCAUAGAGAUUAUGAUUAAAACCAUUUAUGCUUUCAAGGUAUAAGGAUCUUACUUGUAACAACAUUCAUCUAGGAUCCGCCAUAAUUUAUUAGACGCUGCGUGAAAGUGGCAAACGUCCACUGCACCUUUCAGAAGUUUGGGACUGAAGGGAUACAUCUGGAGGCCCUGAGAGAUGGAUUCCCAUACUUUCUUCAGACCUGGUUUCUUCUGAUGUCUCUGAAGCAUCCUUAUGAAAUAAUUGAACAAAAAUUCAAGUUAUAACAGAUGUGAUAACUAACACAAUAUACAUUUAUGCUGCAUUUAGAUCACUCUAAACAUCCUGUUUGCUUAUAAGAUAGUCAAAUUAUUAUCAGUAAUUUGAGAAAAUCACAUAUGUCUGUAUUGGGUACAGACACAAAUCGGACCCCGAACAUGCCCUCGAUCAGACGUGUGUCUACAAAGCAUUUUCGACAGAAUCUUAUAUCAUGUCUCGUCAUUUGAAAAACUCUUCCAGGUAGAAACAAUUAAUUGGUUUAUAAAGAUGAUAAUAAUGAUAAUGAUGUACCUGGACCAAGGAAUAUAUCUAGCCAUGGUGUUCCUUUUCUAUUGUUUCAGUAAGCACCAAGUUCCGCAUGCCUGACACUAAAUGUCACGACCCAAAAUUCACAAUCGUGACCGGCGCACGAACUAGAACAUUCUAGUCCGGCAAGCCUAUUGACGACACAUGACAACUAUAAUUUACAAUUUAUAAAUUGCUAUCAACUGAAAUUUCGACAGAGUAUCCUCCGUAUUUUUAACAUUUUCCAAGGUUUUAAUCCUGUUUAUAAACCUGUAUUCUCAUCCGGAGUUUCAAAUUGACAUAUUUACAUAUUUGUACAUCUCAAAAUAAAACAUUCCUAAACUCCAAAUAGCUGCAGAUAAUCUGACUCAACAAAUACAUAAACAACAGAGACAUCCAUCAAAGAAGCCUACCAAAAAAAAGUGACGCGGCAGAACUUGAGUCUACUAGCAGCUCUCUACUUAGCUGCUUGGAAAUCUGAAAAAAAUAGAGAAUGAAAGAGUAAGUCACAAGGACUUAGUGAGAGACAACAACCACCACCACUGGAAGGGAAACACACAAGGGCACGAUUAUUUACUUUAUCAAAUCUAUUGUCAAUUUACAAAAAUAGUAACCGUAUAAAAUUAUAUUAAUCCGCAAUCGUUUAUACGCAUGAAAUUUACACAUGUAUAAAUAUUUUCAAUCAAGUAAGAAUAAUUCAAAAAAAAUCCAACAUCAUAAAGAGGUGAAAAUAAAGUUACAAGCCUUUUAAAGAAAUUAUAGAAAACUCCGUUUAGAGAAAAUAAUCAACUUCAAAUAGAAUAUAAAAUCGCGUUCAGUUUAAUAAUACCAAAAUAAUCAACUUUAUAGAAAGUAUUGAAAUCCAACUUUAAUGAAAAUAACCAAAUGGGUGAAUCGAGAACUAGCUCCAUCUCGUUGAUAGCCCUCUCCUCCUAAUGGUGGCCUUCCCAUGGGGCGGCUCCAUCUAACGGAUAGCUCUUUUCUCUCGACUCAAAACAAAGUGUAAACAUUUUCAAUUAGGGAGUUUACAUCUCAUUGAUAGCCCUCUCCUCCUAAUGGCGGCCUUUCCAUUGGGGUGGCUCCAUCUAAUGGAGUAACUACCUAAUCGAAAUCACAUACUAGGUGCACCUAGGUCGUCGUCAUUAUAACCAUAAUUUUCAAAACACCAUUCUUAAAACACAAUGCUAAAACCAUAUUUCACAACAUAACAAAACUUAUUUCAAAAUACGUAUCAUCAAAACUCAAUCGAAAAUCUACUACUUAUAAUCAUAAGUAAAUCCAAAUUCAAAUCCAAAUCCAAAUCGCGUACAAAUUAAUAUCAAAUCCUUUCAAAGACGCAUAUUUCAAAACCACGUUUCACAACAUAUCAAAACUACUAUGAAAAUACAUACAAUCAAAUUCUCCAUUUCAAUCCCUCUACUUUAUAAAUCGCAAGUAAAAUCCAAAUCCAAAUAGAGUGCAUAUUAAUAUCGAAAGUUUCCAAAAACAUACAUUUCAAACCGUAUUUCUCAUAUCUCCAAAACACAUGUCAUAAUAUAUGCAGCCAAAUCUCAAUUUCAACCAUUGGCCCAACAAAUCAUAGAUAAAUUCAAACAGAGACCAUAAUAAUAUCGAUGACUUUAAACACGAGCAUCAUUGAUAAGAAAAAGUUCAAAGGGUGUGUUCCCCAUUUUUUUUUAUAAACACUUUAACAUAGAAAAUUAUCAAAAUAUCAAUAAUAUUAAUAGGGAAAAUAUGCGAUAAUGAUCGUUAUCAACUCACCGAUAUGACGAAUCGAUUAAAUUUGCUCUCCAACCACCCUAGGAUAAACAUUCAAAGCAGCAUCCCACAUUUAUUUCCAGAAAAGCCGAAGUAAAAGGAAUUGAUUCCAAUUUAUUUCUUCCCAAUGCAGCAACAAGGUUCGCCAUGGUUUUGGAUUCCUUUGAACAGCAACAACCGUGGCACCAUAUUACAAUCUUCUUGGUUCCAUAAUCUUGCAAUAUACAGACUAAUUUGUCACUGUACUUGUUGGUUAUUAUGGCUCUAAGCUUCCCAAAACCUCAAAGAAUCAAAAUGACCAACUUUCAAUGAAUGGGCUCUUGUACUUCUUUACUACAUUUACCCUAAUCCCAAAUUUUAUCCAAGUGUACUUGUAGAAUUAGGGAAAAGUUAUGCUUAGAUAUGUAAUUCAUCUCAUGAGUGUUUGAAUUUUGAAAGGAAAUUGGUUAUUGAAAGAGAGAAGAAGAUUGGGUCAUGGGUGAAGGAUGGCAAUGGAAGUAGAAGGUGAAAGAGAGAACUAGAAAGUUAGGUGGUGGUUUCCUCUAGUUUAUAUAUUUUUUAUAUAUAUGUUGUCCUUUUUUUAUUUUUAUUUUUUUUCUCACUAAAGCUAGAUGUUGCUGCUGCAAAAUUUCUCUCUCUGAAACUCCGACUUCCAUAAAUCUAUGCUUUUUCAGAGUAGGAUGAAAUUGUGAUAAUGAAGCAUUGAGAUAUUCAUCUAAUUCUCUCUUUCUACUAUAAGGAUUGGUGAAUAUCACAUCCUCAUUUAUGUUACUUUUCUCCUUCCACACGUGGAUUCCCAUUUCUGUACUUCUUAACCCUUUAAUCACUUUCUCAGGAUUCCCACUGAAAACACGAAGCUUAAACUCCACAUUGAUCCAUUCAUUUUUUAAAAGUGCUUUGUCCAUUUCAGAUUCCAAAUUGAUCCCGUGAAAUAUUUUACAGAGUUCAACAUUUUCUUCCAAAUUCAUAUCAAACAAAUAUGUAUGUCUCGAACACUGCAGCCAAUUCAAUUCAAAUUCUGGAAAUGUACAGUCAUAACCAUUGACAAACAAAUUAAAUUCGAAACUAUAUCCAACAUCCGGAAGAAUAAUAAUAAAAUUUAUAGAAGGGAUCUUUUUACGGAACCAGAAAGAAAUUGAUUGACCCCUGCUUUGAUGCUCGAACCAAUCUGGAAUCCCCUCUGUUCCGUUUGGGAAAGAAAAUUUGGUGCACCCAGCCUCAUGUAAUUGCUGUUAGUUUAGCAUAAGAUAUAUAUUACACAUUGUUGAUUAUAUGUGAAAUACUACAUAUCAAAUACUAUUGCAAGAAAAAACAACAACAAACCUGACUCAAUAACAUUCUUCUACUUGAGGAACUCAAUGAUUUACAUCGAUAUGCAUCAAGAUAUUUGAGAUUCGGUGGAAGCCCUCUAAUUUCCUCAAGAUGCCUGUUGAAAUCCAAUAGGAGGGUCCUCAGAAGGUGACAUUCACUAAGGCACUCGGGAAGAAUUUUGAAUUUGCCAAGGGAUAAGUUUAGAUAUUUCACAUUAACACACGACUUGAGAACUAUUUGGAGACAUUCAUAUGGGAGAUAGUAAGGAUUGAGAUGAAGAGCUUCCACAUUUGAAAACAUUGUAGAAUACAUUACAUCAUCAUGUUUUGAGAACCUGAGCAUUUUACAUCCCUUUAGUGAUAAGCUGAGAUUUUGAAAUGAAAAUGGCAAUUCUCUUGUGGAAGUUGUACACAUUCCAAUCUCUUUUGUAUUUGUCAUCUUACAUAAUAAUUCUGGAAAACUCUUGAGUCUCCUACAAUAAGAGAUGUCCAAUUCCUUCAGAGAGGGCAGCCAUAAGGGUGGAAAACUCUCAAGCUUGCUGCAUCCACAUGCAUUUAUGAUUUCAAGUUUAUUUAGGUUCCUAAUCGAAUCGUGAAUUGCAAUUAAAUUGUUACAUUUUUCAAACGAGAAUUCUUCUAAAUUUGGAAGACCUGAGACAUUGGGUAUAUGGGUUAAAUAUUGACAAUUGUCCAAUGUCAAGACUUUCAUAUCCUCAAACCUCUGCAUAAACACAAAGAAGAAACAAACAAAUAUAUUAAAAAUCAAAUACUAUACUCUCAUGGUGAUAUUUUUUUCUUGAUGGAAACAGAAUCGUGUGAAUUUAUAAAUAUAUACAAUUAGAAAAUGAAAUUAUUUCACUUGCCUUGCUGCAAAUACAAGAUGAUAGAGACUCUGUAGAACAUCCAUUCAAUUUCAAUACUCUCAAACUGCUUGGAAGAUACUUGGGAUCUUUAGAAAAAGAGACAUUUUCAAUAAUAAGUGUUUUGAGAUUUGUCAUCUUCUUGAAGGCCUUUCCAUUCCAGUCUAUUACGGGAUCCGUUGAGGGAGAACUCAGAUAUAUCAUCUCAAUUUUACUUGUUCCCUUUUAACAGAAAAAAAAAAUAAAAUGAAUCAACCACAAUACCAAUAAAAUAUUGAGAACAUGUAAAUGUAAUUAAGGGUAAAAUAAAUAUUUGUUCAUAGAUAUCAAUCUUACUUUGUUUUCCUGUAAAAUAUGAAUUAUGUCAUCGCGACACCACAAUCGACUACGCUUUUCAGGCUCUUUGGGUGAUUCUUUCCGGACGAUUUCUUUACCCAUGGCCUCUAGCAAGUCAUGUAAUGUCACUUCAUUCAAGUGGCACUUUAUGAGAGACUUAUCAACCAACCCUCGAAUGUGGCUAUUUAUGCGAUAACCAUAAUGACGUUGAAGUAUCUCUUCAACUUCUGCCAAACUACAUCCUUUGAAGAAACAAGCAAUAUCCAAAAAGACACUUUGUUGUUCUUCGUCCAAAGCAUCAAAGCUUACUUUAAGUAUCUUUUGGAUAUCUUCAUGUGGAAUUCUUUCAUACUUAUCUAAUGUAGAGUCACAUUCUGCAAAACUCUUUCCAAACAAGUUGGAACCCACUACUUCUAGAGCUAAUGGAAGGCCAGAAGCAUACACAACUGCAUGGUUAAAAAUCUCUUCAUAACUUGAAGGAACUUUGUAAUUUUUAAAAGCCAUCCACCUCAACAAUUCAAGAGCAUUUUCCGUAGACAUCCCUUUUACUUCAUGGAUAAUUUCUAUCUCAUGAUUGGUUAGUAAGUGUUUGUUACGAGUGGUAAUGAUAACUCUGCUUCCACAGCCGAACCAAUCACGUCCUCCAGCCAAAGCAUGCAGUUGUUCCAAAUUGUCAACAUCAUCGAGAAUCAAAAGAAUCUUCUUUGUAUGCAGCCUUUCCUUUAUAUAAGGAAUUCCCUCACUAACACCUCCUAACUUAAUUUUCAGUGCUAGUGUUUUUAAAAGGAGUUCCUCCUGGAGAUGUUUCAAUUGAUUUGAAGCUGAAUUCUCUCUCACAUUUUCAAGAAAACAUGAGCAUUCAAAUUGAUCAGCAAUAAAAUUAUAAAUUGCUUUCGCAAGUGUUGAUUUACCCAUGCCUCCAAUGCCAUAAAGUCCUAACAUGCGGACUCCAUCAUCAGAUCCUUUAUCAAGAAGCGCUUUCACUUGUUGUACUCGAGACUGCAAUCCAACAGGGUAAUUGGCAACAUGUAAGGGCUGACGACUGAUCUUGUUGGAGACGUAUUUGACUAUAUCUCCAAUAAACUUGUAUUCAUAUCUAUUCAUGUCCAAUAAGAUAAAUCAGUGUGUAACAACAUCACAGUCACAUCCAUGUCCUCAUAGUAUAUCAUACAUUUCUAACUAUUUUGACUUAUAAAUAACUAAUACUUGUUUAAAAACGUAAUUAAAAAGGUGUUUCCAAUUUAGGCUUUAAGAUGGUAUCAUUGAGGAAUAAAAAUUAAAUAAAUAAAAUGCAAAAAGGAAAACAAGAAUUAAGUAAAGAGGAGUACCCAGAACUAAAAUGGUAGCCGGACAAGUUAGCAGCUUCGGUCAGAGCUAACUUCCAUUGAUGCAACCGCUCCAUGUUUUUCUUGUUAUUUUGGAAACUCUUUCCGUGCUUAGUGAGAUGUUCACCAUAACUCCCACUUUGAUGUCGUAUGUGAGUAGGAUCUACGCCAUAGAAAACAGGCAAAACGAGACGACCUUUUGUCUUGUAGCAGUGAAUGAUGUGAACAAGUUCGUCCAAACAAAAUGAAGAAGAGGCAUAGUUGAUAGAAAACACAGGAAUGAAGAUCCUAGACUCUUCAAUGGCAUUGUCGAGUGAUGGUUUGAUUUCAUCCCCACUUUGCAGGUCACGGUCAUCAAUGAAGGUGUGGAUUCCCUUGUCAGUAAGAGCUUUGUAGAGAUGGCCAGUAAAACCGUCACGAGUGUCAGUGCCCCUGAAGCUGAGGAACACUUGGUAAGUGAAUCGAUAGGAAAAUGAAGAGGAUGAGGAAGGUGAUUGCAUAGCCAUGAGAAUUGAGAGAAACUAGAUGAAAAAAGAGUUUGAGAAUGCAGAAUAUGAGGUUAAGUUUUUGUGGUCUGAAAUGUGGAGUCUUCGGUAUGAGUUUGUGGUGUAUAUAACAAGGACAAACUUAGGAAAAAAAAUGGUCUGUUAAACUUCCUGACUACUUCCUAUAGCCGUGUGGACCAAUCACACAUUAAAUAACAUUCUACUGCCACAUCUUCUUGCUAAUUUCUUCAAUGUGAUUGCUGUUCAACUUUCGGACAAAACUAAAAUAAAUAAGUAAAAAACCAAAGAAUAUAAUGGGGGUCUUUGUACUAGUGGUAGUUUAAUGGAAUAUUGGUUGCACAAGAAACUUGUAAAGAAAAUCCUUGGCAUAUGACGCGAAAAAAUGAAGAAAGACAGCAAGAAGAAAACAAGAUUAUGAACAAUGGCAACAUCCAAGAAGUUAGACCAUUGACCAGAGGAUUAAUUAAAGAACUUGCUUACAUCACUAUGUUUUCUUAUAAUUAAUAACUUUAAAAAGAAUCAGCAUUAGGUCCAAGGUUUGAUCCCCGACCGAUGUAUGGAAAAACAGAAGAAUUAAACUCUUUAAUGGAUAGAUUGGUUCUUAUUAUUAUCACUGGUUUAUUAAUUUAAUAUCUUUUUUUAUAUGUUAUUAUUAAAAUAUAAAGAGUAUCUCUAAAAAAAAUAUUAAGAGUAAAAAAUUUAGACCUAAAAAAAAAAUAAACAUGACAAUAAAAUAUAAAGAGGUGAUUAUUUGAAUUGGUGUUAGACAUUAAAAAAAAUACAGACCUGAAAAUGAUAUAGGAAAAACAAUUUAAACCUACCAAUAAAAAAUUAAACGUCACAUUUGCAUGUGUUAAAAAGUUCAAAAUAGUAAAUUUUGUAUAUUGCACAAGUGAGACAAAUCCAAGAUAUUUAUAACAUUUCAUUAAUGUGUAAAUAAUUUAUACAUGUUGGUACAUCAACGAAAAUACCAGAGCUAACUAAAAGUAUACUUACUUCGACUAGAACAUGAGUGACCUUAUUUAUUUCUCUCUCAAGCACAAUGUGAGAGUUUGUAAAUUAAGAAGCAAAACUAAUUAUUCAUUAUAAUAAAACAUAACCAAACUAUGUAGCAUCCUCUCUAACAUUGUUGAAUGCUUCCACCACUGCUUUAUCGAGAACAAAAUUCAAGUUAUAAAAGUUUAGAUCAUGAAUAUCGCUUCACCCAAAUUCAUAUCACAGGUGUUUUUAACAUCCGGAAGAAUAAUAAUAGAAGUUAUAGAUGGGAUCUUUUUACAGAACCAGAAAGAAAUUACUUUGAUUUUUGAAAAGAUGAUUGUGAUUGAGGUUGAAAACUCUCGGAAAACAAUUAGGCUAUAUUUCCUACUUCACAAAAAGAAACAUUUUAACAUGUAGCUUGAACAUGAAGGAAGCAAAGGCCCUGGAACAUUUUUCGUCAUUAAUAGAUAUACAUUUUGUGUCAUCAAUUUAGUAGACUUUUUGAUGUUGCGUUGGAUAAGUAAAAAUUGGUUGCAGAUAUGUUUGAAGAGGAGGGUUGAGUUAAAAUGAAUUUCAAUAGACAGUAAAUAAAAUAAAAAGGUCCAACUUCUCAUAAUAGCUUUCCAAAAACCUUGUCUUGGUUUCUCAUAAUUGUGUUGGUUUCUCAGUAUGCCAAGACAAGGUUUCUGGAAAGCUAUUCAAUCUUGUUGUCAUGAAUUAAGAUAACUUUUUAUCGCAUUUCACAUAGUAUUACUAUUCGUUGUGUCUACAAUUGUAAGAAAAGAACAGGAAAUGAACAACAUUCUCAAGAAUAUCACAUGAAACAAGACUGAUGCAAUAGUUUUCCAAAAAUACCCUAAGCUAGUAAAUUAUUUGAAGUAUGAAAUAGUUUUCAGAAUUACUAACAAACCAUUGCAAAGCUAAUAAACCAAACCAACAGGGUAAGUAGGAUCAUUAUUUCUCUAGAAUGAAUCAAUUCACACCAUUUGAAAAUGUAUGCCCGGAAUCUUUUGAGACCGAAUAAGCAGGAACAUCAGCAGAAGUCAUUGUAUAUCUAACAGACCCAUUGGCGGUAAAAGUAUCUCCAGAUUCAAGAUGAGCAUCAAAAACAAAAACAAUUUCUCCAGCAUGAGCUUCAUCAACUUCCUCGAUUUUAUUAACUUCGUCUCUUGCCCAAACGAGGAAUCUGAAUCUUCUUACCAGUGUUAACAUUUGUAAUAAAAUCACCCUUCUUAAUAACACCCUGAUAGAUUCUUAGAUAAGUUAAUUUGAAAUACCUCUCAUGCCAAUUUGCAAAAGCCUUUGCAACAAAUGGUGCAUCAAUACUUCCAGACAAUUCAACUUUCUCACCAUUCUUAUUUAGAUCAAGAGCAUAAUUACUAACAUCGAUUGGACUUGGCAAAUACCUAAUUACACCCUCCAUUAAUAGUUUUAACGUCUCAUAGCUCUCAUCACCAAUGAUAAUUGGUACAAAUUUCAUUGAUAUAGUUGCCCUACGAAUUGCAUCAUCGAGAACAGACUCUGGAAUUUUGCUGCCACCAUGAAAAGCUUUAGAAAGUUUAUCAUCAACCUCUGACACAAUUUCAAUGAGUUCGCGUCUUUUCUUCAACACAAAGGCUUGCAUAUCUUCGGGUAUUUCUCCUACUUCUACAUCAUAAUUAUAAUCAGGUGUUUCAGAGCGAAAAAAGUAGGCCUUUAACUUAUCAAAAAGUCUAGCAAAGAAUUUAAGGGGGAAAAAGUAGGCCUCUAACUUGACAAGAUCAACAAAUCCAAUAUAAUAAUCGUUAAAGUGUAUUGGAACUUGAAUUGCAGCACAACGAUGAUUAAGCUUAGAUUUUACUUGAUCUACAAUGUUCCAUAGAUCUGCUCCUUCCUGAUACAGAUCGUCAAUAAAUAUAAGCCUAGGAAGUUGAAAUCUUGUCAUUUGUUGAUCCAUAGUAAUGGAUUUGGUUUUAACACCAUCAACACAAGAAAGAACAAGAAUUGCACUGUCGAAAAUACGCGAAGCUAGCUGAACAUCAACUUUGAAAUCAACAUGAUCAGAACAUAUCUUCUCCAAAAAAGUAUCAAAACAAGAAAUGUCAAAUAGGGUUUUAUUUUUAUAGGAAGUGACAUAUGUUUUGGUAUGUAUGUUGUCUAUCUCGUCCUCAUAUACAAAACGUGGGUCUUCGUAGUUCGGAUAGCGAUGACUUUCUAAUAAUACUAUUUCCCUGUCCGUCCGCUUCUUAACGUAGUCGUAUCCAGACAUCCAGACGUGGCGCAGCUUCUCCACUGACUUGUUGGAGAAGUGACGGAGGUGGAGAGGGCUGGGGAGAACGGAGGAAGAUGGAUAAAUAGAGGAGGCGGAGGAGGAGCGUACGGUGGAGUAGAGAAGCAGUGGAAAGGAGGACCUUGAGAAGAAACGAUUCAUGGCGGCAAGGGGUUUGAUGGAAGCUACAGUGUAGUAAGCAAACCUAACUAGGUUUUGUUUAUUUGGAUUAAUAUGCCUUUACCUUUUUAAUAGGCUUAAACACACUUUUUACCCCCCUAAGUUUGCAAACGUUGCAAUUUUGGCCCUCUAUUAAAAAAAAUGGCAAAAGUGACCCCUAAUGUUUACCCCCUUUUAUAAAAUUCCAAUUUUGACUAAGUCAAUGCCUACGUGGCAGCUUAUUUGACUAUAUGACAUGCCACGUGUGUAAUUAAUAAUUAAAAAUAAAUAAAAAUGUCACAUAAUCAAUUAAUCAUUUUGAAAAUUAAAUAAAUGAAAAAGAAAAUUAAAAACCCAUAAAAUUCAUAAAUCUUCAUCUUCAACACAAGCCCUGCAAAAUCAUCUUCAACACCCACAAACUCAUUUUCAUAGAAAUCCAAAAAAUCAAAUCCAGUUACACAUUCUUUUCUAAAUCUACAUUAUAUUUCCAUCACAGAAUCACACAAACAACCCUUUUUAAUCCUAAAUCAAAAACCGAUUUUGAAACCAAAAUCGAAUACCCAAAUGGCUUAUUAAUCAGAACCACCUUCUUCCUCAAAAUGGGUCACUCAAAUUUCCCACCAUGGAAAGACACCAACACACAUCAAUGGCGUCUUAUCAAACUCAUUUCCAUAGCUUUCUUCACAUUACUCUCUCUCUUCUUUGUUCUCUUUUACAACACCCUUUCCGGACGCCGGUGUUGUGGCUCCGUCCAUCAUUGCUGGAGGAGACGGUGGUUUGUUUGAUUCCGCCGCAGUGGAAACUCUAUGUUGUGUGGUCACUACGUUCUUUGAGAGGCUUCAUGAUUGAGUGAAGAAACAGAGUUAAACCUCAAUGGCUUUUUUUUGAAGUUGCGAGAGUUUGGAUUUUGAUUGUGGAAGUUGAAAUCAGAAAUGAAAAAAACAGUGGAGAAGUUGGAGGAGAGGGAGAAGUGAGUUUAAGGACACAUGGGGGUGAGGACUCCAGGUUUAUGAAGGAGGAAGAACAAAGGGAAAAAUGUUGAAGAUGGAAGUUGUUGAUGAUGAUGGCGUGUUGUUGUUCUUGUGGUAUUUUUAAUUUCUUUUAUUCUUUUAAUUUAUUUAAUACUUAAAUGAUUAUUUGGCUUUUACAAAAAAAAAAAUUAAUUAAAAAAUUAUCCAGUUGGCAUCUUUGUGGGUUAUGUGGCAUGACACAUAGGCUUGACUAAGUCAAAAUUGAGGUUUUGCAAAAGGGGGCAAACAUGAGGGGUCAUUUUUGCCAUUUUUUUUUAAUAUGGGGCCAAAAUUGCUACUUUUGCAAAAUUAGGGGGUAAAUAGUGCGUUUAAGCCUUUCUAAUAUUAAUAUUCUUUUUUUUUUUAAAACAUGACUAGACAAAAUCGCAGAUGUGUCUCGCAGUUGGUAAUUUUGAUGACAUGGCAAGCUUACUAGGCUUUUAAAAUAAUUUUUCAUUUAUUUUUAUUUUCAAUUGUUUUUUUAUUAAUUUAAAAAAUAAAAAAUAAUAUAUAGUUUUAGAAAAAAUAAAAAGUUUUAUUUAAAAAAAAAUAUAUUUUAUUUUCCAGAAGAUUUAAUUUUUUUAAAAUAAAAAUAAACUUAUCUAAUUUUCAAGAAUUUUAUCUUUUAGAAAAAAUAAAAAUUUUUUCGAAAAAAAAAUUAAUAUUUCUAGAAUAUUUUAAAAAAUUUACAAAAAUUAAAAUAUUAAAAUAUAUGUUUUUUUACUUAUCUAAUUUGUUACACUUUUUAAAUGAUAAAGAAAAAAUAGACAUAUAUAUUUCUAUCGUGUUUGUUAUAUUGGUUUUAAUAUUAAAAUUUAUUCUUAUUUAUUUGUUACUUGUUUUAUUUGUAUGGAAAAUUGAGGACAUUUGAAAAUGCAAAGUAAACAUUUAAAAUGCAAAGUACUAAUUUGAUCCUAAAAAAUCUGAAAUAUUGGUCAAAUUAAUACUUUUUCAAGACAAAUUUUUGGAACAUUUUAAUCUCCAUUUGAUCAACAUUUGAAAAUUUUGAAUAUUACAUUAGUAAUUUUGAUUAUUUGGGAAUAUUUUUCUUGUAGUUGUUGAGGACCAAUUUCAAUUUAGUCUAUAUUUUUGGAAGUACUAUUCGUUGUGUCUACAAUUGUAAGAAAAGAACAGGAAAUGAACAACAUUCUCAAGAAUAUCACAUGAAACAAGACUGAUGCAAUAGUUUUCCAAAAAUACCCUAAGCUAGUAUAUUAUUUGAAGGGAGCAAACAUGAGGGGUCAUUUUUGCCAUUUUUUUUAAUAGGGGGUCAAAAUUGCUACUUUUGCAAACUUAGGGGGUAAAUAGUGCGUUUAAGCCUUUCUAAUAUUAAUAUUCUUUUGUUUUAAAACAUGACUAGACAAAAUCGCAGAUGUGUCUCGCGGUUGGUAAUUUUGAUGACAUGACAUGCUUACUAGGCUUUUAAAAUUAUUUUUCAUUUAUUUUUAUUUUCAAUUGUUUUUUUUAUUAAUUUAAAAAAUAAACAAAAAUAUAUAGUUUUAGAAAAAAUAAAAAGUUUUUUUUCCAGAAUUUAUAUUCUUUAGAAAAAAUAAAAAGUUUUAUUUCAAAAAAUAUAUAUUUUAUUUUCCAGAAGAUUUAAUUUUUUUAAAAUAAAAAUAAACUUAUCUAAUUUUCAAGAAUUUUAUUUUUUAGAAAAAAUAAAAAGUUUUUCGAAAAAAUUAAUAUUUCUAGAAUAUUUUAAAAAAUUUACAAAAAUUAAAAUAUUAAAAUAUUUGUUUUUUUACUUAUCUAAUUUGUUACACUUUUUAAAUGAUAAAGAAAAAAUAGACAUAUAUAUUUCUAUCGUGUUUGUUAUAUUGAUUUUAAUAUUUAAAUUUAUUCUUAUUUAUUUGUUACUUGUUUUAUUUGUAUGGAAAAUUGAGGACAUUUGAAAAUGCAAAGUAAACAUUUAAAAUGCAAAUUGUACUAAUUUGAUCCUCAAAAAUCUGAAAUAUUGGUCAAAUUAAUACUUUUUCAAGACAAAUUUUUGGAACAUUUUAAUCUCCAUUUGAUCAACAUUUGAAAAUUUUGAAUAUUACAUUAGUAAUUUUGAUUAUUUGGGAAUAUUUUUCUUGUAGUUGUUGAGGACCAAUGUUUUUUCAAACGUGUACAUCCAAACUCAUGAUGUAUGAUAGGAAAAGUUGUUCCCAUGAAGCAAAGCACAAGAUAUCAAGAUUUUGUUCUCUAAUCAUACAGAUUAAGAAGCAGAAGUGUUGAUACUAAAGAGACCUACUUUAAACAAUAGCAUACUAACUCCAUCCCUAAUUAAUUAUAAGACCCUUUUAAAAAAAUAACGGAAAUUAAGAUAGUGAAUAUUUGUAUUAAAUAUGUUUAUAAUUAUUAUUAUAUUUACAAUUUUAUCCUUUAAGAGAGAGAUCGUUUAUGUUUUCAACAUGUUAUUUAUUGCUGAUUGAAGAAAAAGAUGUAUAAUAAAUAGGGGUGUGUAUGUAAAGAAAUAAUUAAUGUAGUUGGAAAUAGCAAAAGAGUCUUAUAAAAAGGGACAAAAAAAAUUCUUAAAAUGAUUUUCUAAUUAGAGACGGAGGUAAUAUUAUUUAUCAUUGAAAGGGACCUACCUUACCUUAAAAAUCAAUAGUUCCUACACUUCCACAUAUAUGCACAUUUUGCUUUCUAAGAAGCAUCAAAACUACUAUCUCAUGCAUAGUUUUGAAAACCGGAUCUGCGUCAACCUGUGUGACUAGGCCAAACUCGGCGGUUUGUUGGACAAAUUUAAUGCUGAAGCAGGACUUUAAUUAAAUGGUUUGUAUUAAAAAAUGGCAAAGUAGGGUGUUGAACUGAGGACAAAAACCUGCAUUGCUCUACCUUAGUCAUCUACGUUGUUAUUCCUGUGUGAUAUUGUGUGCUCAAUUCUCUCUAAAAAAAACAACUUGUUGUGCUAAAAAAUAAUUUGUCAGCAAAAUGGACAAUACUAUCAAAAUAUAACUAUACAAUACAAAAUAUUUUUUUAUAAGAUAGAAGAAAUUAAUAUAAACAUUUUACUUGAUUAAACCUAUUUUUGUUAGCUUUAUUCAAAAAAUUCUAUUUGUUGUAGCACAUUUGUUUUUAUUUUUGUCGUAGAUGCAAAAUGAAAUAUUUUUUAAUGUUUAUUUAAAUAUGUACUAUAUCUCAUAAAGAAUAUAUGAAGCUAUUCAAAGGCACCUAUAUCAAGAUGUUUCUAUUUAUAUUGCUAAAAAUAUGCAUUUAUUUAUGUUAAAAAAAUAAUUUUUUUUAAAGAUCAAGGUCACUAUUUGUUAAAAAAAAUUAAAAUGGAGAUAACAUUAAGUCGGUUCAGUAUAAUUUAAUAUAAUGAUUUUUUUUACGUAGAUCGAGUCAUAUAACCGAGUCAUUCGGUUCAAUCCGAUUCAGUCGUGCGGUUCAACCAAUGACACAGUGGUUCAACAAUUGAACCAGUGACCUAGUACCGAGUCGAUCACCGGUCCGAUUUUUAAAACUAUGAUCUCAUGCACAUAUGUACGCGUUUUCUUACUUUAUUAAUGUGUAGUUUUCUAUCUUCUCAUUCAAAUUUAUGAUAUACUUUCUACUUUUGAUCACUGCAUCACCUUCGUGAGCUAGGGUGGACCACGGCCCACCCGGCAAAAUUAAAAAAUUAACGAUUAUAGGUCUACUUUGCAAGAUUUUAUACAAUUAAUUUUGUGUCGGUGACAGGUUUCGGGUAAUCCAAAUUUCCGCAAAGUGGUGUAGUCGCCCACCCGCAAAAUUUAAAUUAUUCAAUUAUAGGUCUAUUUUGCGAUCUUUAAACAAUUUUUCAACGCUUAUAGUUUUAUGUGAUUUCAAAAGUGGCAUACGUGAUUUUUGUGAUGCUUAUACUUAACAUAUUGUCAUGUCAACUGAAAAUUCUCUCAAUUAACAGUCGUAAUGUACAAAAAAAAAAAAAAUCAUAAUUUAUAGUAGUUGUUAAAUACGUAAUUAUUUAAAUAUCCACCCUAACUUUUUAGUCAAACUCCGUCAUUUCAACUUGCGUACUUAAUGUUGAUUACAACUUUAAUUUGUGUUUAUAUAUUAUAAUUAAUUUUAGUGGCCCACCAAGUUUUUUUUUUUGGCUCCGCCACUAUUGUUAUGCAUCCUCACGACCCUAGUUUUGCGGUAACAUCACUUUCUGUCUCAAACUUAUUGUAUCGAAUUCACAACUUACAUGCAUGUUCGAGGUGAGACUGACUAUAACAAACCAAAACAAAAAAAUCCAAUUGAUUCUCGAUAAUUUCGAUGUGGUGAUACUUUACGGUGAAACCGUGCUCUCGGAAGCUGAGGUGCAACAACCUAUAGUUUUGGUGAAGAUGAGCAACAAGAUAUGACGGUUGACUUGGAAACGAUGAAUUCAGCGAAGUUCGUGCAUAAGGUGGUGCAAGAGAAUCUAGUUGACGAAUGGAACAAAGGGGUGGUGAAUUUUGAUGUGAAGAUGGUUGUUAGAGUUGGAUUUGAAGCUGGAAUAUGGCCAAGCAAGGAAAAGACAUUGUGUGUUUCUUGUGGGGACUUGGAUGUGGAAUUCUAUUCUACAAAAGACACUGGAAAACUAUUGGGUAUUGGGAAGAACUGCAACGUAGUUGAAGCCAAACCAUAGUUAGCUAUUGAAGAUUGAUUAAUUAUAAGUGGAAUAUUAGCAUAAUCUAACGCUCUUUUUAGUUUUUACACACCACUACUCUUUAUCUUAUUGAAUAAAAUGUACGUGAAAUUGUUGGAAAUCAAGCGAGUGGUUAUAUUCCACCUCGACUUGAAAUGGAGAAAAUGUCGGAUAUAUUAGAUAGACGGUCCGUACACCUAGUGUCUUGAGGUUUUUGGGAAAUAUGUGGUGUUAAGGUCUUGUACCAGUCCUGGACGUUUAGUUAAUUGCCGCUUCUAAGACUCUGCAACAAAGAUGUUGUGAAUUUGAUGAAAAAACCACACCAAUAACAACUUGAUGUGUGGAGCAAGGCAUAAUCAAGCAACCAAAACAAAGUGUAUGAAAGUUAUAAAUACAAGCCAAUAGUAGAAAACAACGGCGAGAAGAACACAAAGAAGAAGAAGAACACAAAGAAAUUUGUUGACCCAGUUCGGUCCAAUCUGACCUAGUCUGGGGGAGAGAGCAGUCCUCCAAUCCACUAUAUGAUGAGUUUCGUUACAAAGAGAAAUCAAUGGGUUACAAGAAUAAGUCUCCCACCUAAUUCUACCCAAAGUCGCAAUCUCUUCCCGUAACCAAGAGACUCAACCCUAAUAGUGUUUCCCAAGGUGAAUCAACUCACAAACCCUAGUGUUUGUUCCGAAGAGACAAACUCUAUACAAACCCUAGUUUUGUUGUUGCCUUUCUAAACCCUUGUUUCAGCCCCCUCUAUCUCUCUCUCUCAAAGUUUAGCCUAAUACAAGGUCUAUAUUUAUAGUAAAAGUAUAACUCAUAAAUUUGGAACAAAUACCACACUGAAGAUACGUUUUUUUUUNNNNNNNNNNNNNNNNNNNNNNNNNNNNNNNNNNNNNNNNNNNNNNNNNNNNNNNNNNNNNNNNNNNNNNNNNNNNNNNNNNNNNNNNNNNNNNNNNNNNNNNNNNNNNNNNNNNNNNNNNNNNNNNNNNNNNNNNNNNNNNNNNNNNNNNNNNNNNNNNNNNNNNNNNNNNNNNNNNNNNNNNNNNNNNNNNNNNNNNNNNNNNNNNNNNNNNNNNNNNNNNNNNNNNNNNNNNNNNNNNNNNNNNNNNNNNNNNNNNNNNNNNNNNNNNNNNNNNNNNNNNNNNNNNNNNNNNNNNNNNNNNNNNNNNNNNNNNNNNNNNNNNNNNNNNNNNNNNNNNNNNNNNNNNNNNNNNNNNNNNNNNNNNNNNNNNNNNNNNNNNNNNNNNNNNNNNNNNNNNNNNNNNNNNNNNNNNNNNNNNNNNNNNNNNNNNNNNNNNNNNNNNNNNNNNNNNNNNNNNNNNNNNNNNNNNNNNNNNNNNNNNNNNNNNNNNNNNNNNNNNNNNNNNNNNNNNNNNNNNNNNNNNNNNNNNNNNNNNNNNNNNNNNNNNNNNNNNNNNNNNNNNNNNNNNNNNNNNNNNNNNNNNNNNNNNNNNNNNNNNNNNNNNNNNNNNNNNNNNNNNNNNNNNNNNNNNNNNNNNNNNNNNNNNNNNNNNNNNNNNNNNNNNNNNNNNNNNNNNNNNNNNNNNNNNNNNNNNNNNNNNNNNNNNNNNNNNNNNNNNNNNNNNNNNNNNNNNNNNNNNNNNNNNNNNNNNNNNNNNNNNNNNNNNNNNNNNNNNNNNNNNNNNNNNNNNNNNNNNNNNNNNNNNNNNNNNNNNNNNNNNNNNNNNNNNNNNNNNNNNNNNNNNNNNNNNNNNNNNNNNNNNNNNNNNNNNNNNNNNNNNNNNNNNNNNNNNNNNNNNNNNNNNNNNNNNNNNNNNNNNNNNNNNNNNNNNNNNNNNNNNNNNNNNNNNNNNNNNNNNNNNNNNNNNNNNNNNNNNNNNNNNNNNNNNNNNNNNNNNNNNNNNNNNNNNNNNNNNNNNNNNNNNNNNNNNNNNNNNNNNNNNNNNNNNNNNNNNNNNNNNNNNNNNNNNNNNNNNNNNNNNNNNNNNNNNNNNNNNNNNNNNNNNNNNNNNNNNNNNNNNNNNNNNNNNNNNNNNNNNNNNNNNNNNNNNNNNNNNNNNNNNNNNNNNNNNNNNNNNNNNNNNNNNNNNNNNNNNNNNNNNNNNNNNNNNNNNNNNNNNNNNNNNNNNNNNNNNNNNNNNNNNNNNNNNNNNNNNNNNNNNNNNNNNNNNNNNNNNNNNNNNNNNNNNNNNNNNNNNNNNNNNNNNNNNNNNNNNNNNNNNNNNNNNNNNNNNNNNNNNNNNNNNNNNNNNNNNNNNNNNNNNNNNNNNNNNNNNNNNNNNNNNNNNNNNNNNNNNNNNNNNNNNNNNNNNNNNNNNNNNNNNNNNNNNNNNNNNNNNNNNNNNNNNNNNNNNNNNNNNNNNNNNNNNNNNNNNNNNNNNNNNNNNNNNNNNNNNNNNNNNNNNNNNNNNNNNNNNNNNNNNNNNNNNNNNNNNNNNNNNNNNNNNNNNNNNNNNNNNNNNNNNNNNNNNNNNNNNNNNNNNNNNNNNNNNNNNNNNNNNNNNNNNNNNNNNNNNNNNNNNNNNNNNNNNNNNNNNNNNNNNNNNNNNNNNNNNCGAAGAAGAUAAAGAAAGUGAACCGGUGAAGACACCGAUUUAUUUUCGGUUCCCAAGCAAAAUCAACAAAGCAGAGCCAAGAAUCAAGUUUUUCCGAAGAAUCUCGUAAAAUCUCCGAUUAAAAAACUCAGGUAAAACUCAAACUUCAACUUUCUUUCUCAAGAACAGUAACAAAGAAGAAACUAUGUAGAUCUGUAGGAGUUUGAACGGUUUCAUUCAAAAAGUUAAAAAAACCUAAAAAUAAUUUUCAAAACCGUAUGAAAAUUCUAGAUCUACGUUGUUUCAAGCCUUGUUUGUGAAAAUCAGUGUUAGAUUCGUGCUUAGGGUUUAAAGGCAAGUAGAAAGACGUAAAAAUCUUGAAGUUCUGGUGAGGUUAGAGGUUGCCGGAAACUGGAGAUCUCACCGGAGAAGGUGAAGAUUCCGGCGGACCUAUGAAGGUUCUAGCCAGAUCUUCAUCUUCCCCGGCCGUUCAUCCAUGAAUCCGGCGGAGAAAGUUAGAGAGAGAUGAGAGAAGUGAGAAGUUAGAGAGAGAAAGAACAAAUGCAAAUGAAUAAACCGGUGCUCCCCUCCUUUUAUAGGUCAGUGAACCGGACCGGUCCAAGACAGGUCCAUUUCCCUUCAAUCCUGGCCGUUUGAUUUAGGGUUUGAUCCCCUAGAUCAAUCCUGUGGUUCUUGUGCGUCCGGACCCCUUAGGCUUGGGCUUGGGCUUGUUCCCUUUGGUUUUGCUGCGUUUUUGCUAUUUUCUUGCUAUUCACACCAUGCUUUCUUGCUGUUUGAACCACUGUUCGUUCUAAUUUUCUCGUAAAAAUUCCUAAAAAAUUUCUAUGUGUUCCUUGAUACAUUUUUGACUUUUUUUGUGAUGUUUCACAUGUUAUAAAAUUGAUAAAAAUAUAUGUGUUGCUUUCUUGAUUACUUUUCUUUCUUUAGUUGAAUUUCAUGCCAUUUCUCGUUUUUUUCGUUCGUGAUAUCUUAGUAUAUGGUGUGAAUGUUCGAUGUGAAAUUUCAUGAUGAGAAUGCCACUGUUUGUGUGAGUGUUUCGCUGUUUUCAACAUGAUUUGUUAAUUUCUUGCCUUGCAAGNAGAAAUCGUGACACGAUUUUGGCAUCGUGACACGAUUUCAAGUGGCCGUGAGCUAGUUUGCAGGACGCCAAAUCGUGGCACGAUCUUGGGAAAUCGUGACACGAUUCAGAAACUUGCUCGUUAAGUAUCACUGAUAAGGACUUGUCAACCUUGGGUCCGUUGAAGAUCGUGACACAAUCUAGGAAAAUCGUGGCACGAUUUCUUCAGGGGAAGACUAGUAUAUAUUGUGUUCUUGUGCUUUUUUGAAGUAAGACUUAAGAGAAGAACUUAAGAGAGCUUUUAGAGAGAACUUGGAUAGCAAAGGAGGGAACCAAUGGGUUGAGUGUCUUUGUUGAGAGUGUCUCUUGGGUUGGGAAAAACAUUGUUAUCACCUUGGGUUUUAGGAAUAUUUUAAAAAAAGUUAUGUAAUAGUUAUGUAAUAGUGAACCCGUAUUUUCAACCCACAUAUUUUCUAGAAUAUUUUAAAAAAUUUACAAAAAUUAAAAUAUUUGUUUUUUUACUUAACUAAUUUGUUACACUUUUUAACUGAUAAAGAGAAAAUAGACAUAUAUAUUUCUAUCGUGUUUGUUAUAUUGAUUUUAUUAUUUAAACUUAUUCUUAUUUAUUUGUUACGUGUUUUAUUUCUAUUGAAAAUUGAGGACAUUUUUGGAAAAAGAAAAAUUCAGCCUAAAAAUGCUGAAAGAGAUCAUUUUCUUUAGGGUAAAUACCAAUUUUCGUCCCUGUAAAAAAAACGAUUUAGAUUUUGUCCCUGUAAUUUCAUAUUGUUCCAAUUUUGGUCCCUCCUUUCAUCACGUCAGCAAAAUCUGCAUAAAUUACGUCCCUGUAAUUUCAGAUUCCUCCCUCUUUUGGUCCAUGUAAUUUCAAAUUCCUCAACUUUUGGUCCCUCAGUUUACGUUCAAUGUAUGUAGAUUCUGCUGACGUGGUGGAAUAAGGGACCAAAACUGGAAGAAUCUGAAAUUACAGAGACAAAAUCUAAAUCUUUUUUUUACAGGGACGACUAAAACCGAAACUCGCUAAUAAUACAGGUACGAAAAGAGGUAUUAACCCUGUUCUUUAUAUAUAGUAAAUAUGUGGGUUGAAAAUACGGGUUCACUAUUACAUAACUUUUAUGAGACAUAAAUGCGGGCUGAUUAUUAUGUCGACGGAUUCUUUAACGGUAAAAUUAUCUCUGGAAUUCUAUGGUACCACAUGCAUCUAGAAGAGUAUAAAACAUUACAUGUACUUAUUACUUGGUGAGUCGAGUCCUUACUUGGAUAUGUGAAUCGGUAUAUAUGUGCAUUGGUGAACUUUUGGUGAUUGUUGUGAAUACUUGCACAAGAUGAAUUAUAUGUAUGCUUGAUUGAGCUUGUAUAUUUGUUGAUUGAAUUUAUUAAUUGUGAAUUAUGAACUAUAUUUUCUCACAGGCAUCUCAGGUGUUGAAGCAUCCUUAAUUGUAUGGACAUUCUGUGCCUUGAAAUAGUUAACAUUGGUCAAAACUAGUCUUCAGCAAACAUCUGAACUAAUCUUAUUUAGCCCCUGAAAAUGCAAAGUACUAAUUUGAUCCUAAAAAAUCUGAAAUAUUGGUCAAAUUAAUACUUUUUCAAGACAAUUUUUUGGAACAUUUUACUCUCCAUUUGAUCAACACAUCUGAAAAUUUUGAAGAUUACAUUAGUAAUUUUGAUUAUUUGGGAAUAUUUUUCUUGUAGUUGUUGAGGACCAAUUUCAGUUUAGUCUAUAUUUUUGGAAGUGUACAUUCAGACUGCAUUACUUUGUCUGAAAGUGUAUUUUUGGAUGGUACUAAAUUUAUGUUUUUUCAAAUGUGUACAUCUAAACUCAUGAUGUAUGAUAGGAAAAGUUGUUCCCAUGAAGCAAAGCACAAGAUAUCAAGAUUUUGUUUUCUAAUCAUACAGAUUAAGAAGCAGAAGUUAACCAUCCUUUGUUGAUACUAAAGGGACCUACUUUAAAAAUAACAUAGUAUUUGUCAUUGAAAUGGACCUACCUUACCUUAAAAAUCAAUAGUUCCUACACUUCCACCACCAAGUUUUCAUAUAUGCACAUUUUGCUUUCUAGGAAGCAUCAAAACUACUAUCUCAUGCACAUAUGUACACGUUUUCUUACUUUAUUAUAAUGUGUGGUUUUCUCUCUCCUCAUUCAAAUUUAUGAUAUUUUCUACUUUUGAUCACUGCAUCACCUUUACCUUCACCUUCAUAUAACAAAUAACUAUACCAAUGCACUGCUUUUGAAAGAUAUAUAGUAACAACACUAGACCAAAAUUGAAUUGGUUACUAGCUACUAUAGCUAGCAUCAUAUCACUAAUCACUAAUAAGAUUAAGGCCAUACCUUAUUUCCAAAAUCCAAAAUAACGAACAUGGAGCACCCUUCUACUAGAAAUAUCCCAACAAGAAGAUCGGACGCCGGAAUCCAGUUUUGUCCGGCGUCUGACCUUGACGGUUGUAUCCAUUUUUGUCAUUUUCAUGGCUAUCAUUGGCAUAGCUUGUUUGUUAUGAAGUGGCGGAGCCCUUUAUGGACUAGGGUGGACCACAGCCCAUCCGAAAAAAUUUAAAAAUUAACGAUUAUAGGUCUACUUUGCGAGAUUUUAUACAAUUAAUUUUGUGUCGGUGCACUACUAAAAAAACUAAAUUUAGUAAGGAAAAACGUAAAAUCCCUCUCUAAUUCCGUCACUAAAUUUUGAGACCAAGGAAUUUGUGAGGAAUUUUAUUUUUUCCGUCACUUAUUUCCCUCGCUAAUAUUGCUUUUUCUAGUAGUGGUGACAGGUUUCGGUUAAUCUAAAUUUCCACAAAGUAGUGUAGUCGUCCACCCGCAAAAUUUAAAUUAUUCAAUUAUAAGUCUAUUUUGCGAUCUUUAAACAAUUUUUCAACGUUUAUAGUUUUAUGUGAUUUCAAAAGUGGCAUACGUGAUUUUUGUGAUACUUAUACUUAGCAUAUUGUCAUGUCAACUGAAAAUUCUCUCAAAUAACAGUCAUAAUGUACAAAAAAAAUCAUAAUUUAUAAUAGUUGUUAAAUACGUAAUUAUUUAAGUAUCCACCCUAACUUUUUAGUCAAACUCCGUCAUUUCAACUCGCGUACUUAAUGUUGAUUACAACUUUAAUUUGUGUUUAUAUAUUAUAAUUAAUUUUAAUGCCCCACCAAGUUUUUUUUUUUCUGGCUCCUCCACUGUUGUUAUGCAUCCUCCCGACCCUAGUUUUGCGGUAACAUCACUUUCUAUCUCAAACUUCAUUGUAUCGAAUUCACAGCUUACAUGCAUGUUCGAGGUGAGACUGACCAUAACAAACCAAAACAAGAAAAAUCCAAUUGAUUCUCAAUAAUUUCGACGUCGUGAUACUUUACGGUGAAACCGUGCUCUCAGAAGCUGAGGUGCAACAACCUAUACUUUUGGUGAAUAUUAGCAUAAUCUAACGCCCUUUUUAGUUUUUACACGCCAGUACUCUUUAUCUUAUUGAAUAAAAUGUAUGUGAGAUUGUUGGAAAUCAAGUGAGUACUUAAGUCCCACAUCGACUACAAAAUGAUGAAAAUGUUGGAUAUACUAAAUAGACGGUCCACACACUUAAUGUCUUAAGGUUUUUGUUAAAUAUAUGGUGUUAAGGUCUCGUAGGAGUCCUAUACGUUUCGCUAAUUGUAGCUUCUUGGAGUCCGCAACAAAGAUCCUUCAAAUCAUAUAGGUUUUACUUUUUCUAUGAUUGAAUUAAUAUAAAAUUUUAAAUUAAUAUUUAAGAGCGUGUAGAUAUCAUGUUUUUUUUUUAUAUGAAGUCAUUUUUGGUGGUGUGUUAGAAUAUAAUGUGUUGGCUAGGGAGCAUGUGCUAAUACAAUAUUCUUGCAUCGCGCAAUGCAUUUGUAAUUGGACACAGUUGUCCUAUAAACUACUUUUUGUUGGAACUUGUGUUGGGGGUCUGCUGUAAUAACUUGGCCAAGAAGAUGAUUAAGAUGAACUUGAUGAAGUGUGUACAUAAAUUCCAAAGAUUGUUGUAUAUCUUGAUUGUUGGGAAGAUGCUGCUGCACUUGAAACCUGAAAAGUUUAAUGGUAAUGCAUGUAAAACUCAAAGCGCAUGGGGUUGCCACACUAACCUUUAGGUUCGAUUCGCCCCCACCAAUAACUAUAUAUUGGAUGCAAUAAAGAAUGACCGGCGAAUCCCCUUCAGGAUACUAAGAGUUCUUUGACGUGUAUUGCACAACCACACACCAAGCGUAUCUUCUAAUAGUAUUUUACAGAUUUAUGGUUCCAGCAAUUCACUCUUGUAUUAGAGAAUUGAUGGAUGAUUUAGAGUAAGAGAAUGGGGGAGAAUUAUGUUGUUAAUGCAACAAAAUUCUGUUUUCUAUUGUCUUGUUGUGUGUCCAAAUUAAUGUCCAAAUGCCAAGACAAUACACUUGUUGUGUGUCCAGAAUUAUGUUUUCUAUUAACACCCAUUUGACUUGAAUCAAUGAUAUGGUUCAUUAAGCUCUCUUUUACCAAAAGUUAUGAUCAUAUACACUUGAAUCAAUGUUAUGGUUCAUUAAGCACUAUUUGGCCAAAGGUUAUAACCAUAUACACUUGAAUCAAUGUCAUGGUUCAUUAUCUAUCACUAAAUAAUAAUGUACCAAUGUAUAUGAAUGGUUCCCAUGAAGAGUUACAACUCUUGGUGAAGAGUUACAGUUUUGGUUCUAAACUGAUUCCAUUAUUUUGGAAAUCACCGACACUUUUGAGACUGAGAUACAAACCUAUUUAAUAUCGUAUAAGAUUUUGUAUGACAUGUGAGAACUAGACCCAUAUUCAUUGUUGCUUUUAUCCCCCACUCAACUAACCAACAAAUUUCUGUUAUGCCGUUAAACUAUAUCUGAAACAUCAUUGUAACAGAAAACUAGUUAAGUGGUUUAUAACUGUAAUAAUCCCAGUAACUGUUAUAAACAUAAAUUAAAAUUAAAAUUUCAAUUUAAAUUUCGGAAAAAAAACUGAAUUUCUUUUUUUCAUUUCAGCAAAACCUAAUGCUUAUAUAAAAGGCAUUAUUCACUUCACAUUAUCUUCAUACUCAGUUGUUUAAUUUUGAAACAACUUCUUUCAAUUCUGUUAUAUCUUCUCUUUUGCACAUUCUCACAAAAAAUCUUUCAACCAUGAAAAACAACACAGAACAAUCUCUUUACACCAUUGAUCUUGAUGAUUCAUCUUUGAAUCAAGCUUAUGCAACAGCAACUGCACUCUUUGCAAUUCUUUGGUGAAUGGAUGAUCUUGAUUCUCGCAUGUUCGAUCGCAUUGUUCUUCAUUCCUCUAACUCCUUCUUUCACACUCCAUUCAACAACUUCAACUGUUCUUAAUGUCACCGAUGGAAAAACCUUCACAGCCAACUUAGGUGUCGAGUUUCUUGCGGAACACUCCAACACUAUUGGAAGCACAAUUCACUAUGACUAUCUUCAUCUAUCACUCUUUCACCAUCAAGAAAACCUCUCAACUUUCUCUAUUUCGAAGCCUUUUUACAACAAACAUGUGGUUGCUUCAAUUCAAGAAGCAAAGUUUCGUAACGUGUCUAUGAUGAUCGAUGGAUGGAAAGUUCAUGGUAUUGGAGAGGCUUGCGGGUUGUUGUAUUUGGAUUUACGAUUUCGUGCUAGUGCGAGAUACAUUCAACCAAUGUGGCCGGUUAUGAAAGACAAGCUUGUAGAUAAUUGUGGAGAAAUGAAAGUUGAAAUGUGUGAUUCAGGUUCAAGCGUCGUUGUUAACCCGUUUCUUGCGUCAUGCGAUGUUUAUAAUGAUUUGGUGACUAACGUUAGGAUUGCGUUGUUUGGAAUGUUGAUCUUUCUUCUUGUGAUUGCUGUGGCUGUUCCUCUUAUUGUUGAGCAUUUCUUUUGCUCUGCCAAUUUUUCUUGAGUCUCAUAGUUUUUUCUUCUUCUAUAGGAAUUGUAAAUAUGGUUUCUUUCAUUCUAGAUGGAUUUCAAUUCCAUGUGUUAGUUGUGUUGUAGAGUUUCAGUUUUUUUCUUUCUUUCUGAAUCAUGAAAGUGUAAUAGAGAUAAACAAUAGUGUAAUAAUAAUAUGCAACACUUUGGAUGAUUGAAAGUUUGUUAACCAUGUUUUUUUGGAUAGCAAUUUUGAUGAUAAUAUUUUUGAUAACCUUUACUCUUCUUUUUUGGAAUAAAAAAAUUAUUUAUUAAAUGACACUAACGGUCAUUUUACGAUCAUUACUUGAAUGUAUUUGAACUCCGCACUUAAGGUUAAGAGCUUGUUGACCAUUUUCUGUUGUGAGUCCUGAAAUUAUGAAUGUUUUAACAUCAUCUGUCGAUAUGAAUAUAUGUACAUACUCUUGUAUUCUUAAAAGCAAUUUAAUCAUACAUACAUGACUAGUACAUUGUUUUAAAAAACUAUACCAAGAUGGAUAAAAAAGAGACUUGCUAUUAAUUACAAACCCGAACUUUGACGAAACACAAGAAUACUCCCGUUUCUUUGUUCGAUAAAUAGCUUUUCUGCCAGAUGUGGAAAACAGAACUUCUGUCUCAGAAACUUACAAACUCUGAUAUUCAUCUGAUUUUCUGUUUCUAUAAGGAUUGGAGAAUAUCACAUCCUGCUCUAUGCUGCUUUUCUUCUUGAACACAGUGGAUUCCAAUUUUUCUACUAAGAUUGAAUUUCUAAAAACUCUCCAAGUGAGCUGCAGUACAACUGAGGUGCAAAGCAUAUCAAUACUCACUGCCCGUUCGAACAACCAACAGAAUCUGCAGUGCGAGCGACCUUUAGACUUGUCGCAUGAUGUCUAAAGAUGGUUUCCUGAGAAUGCUUAGUUUUGGUUAGAGAAAAGUUGUGUAAAUUACCGACAAAUGUUCAAUUUUAUGAGAGAGAUUGUUGUUAAAAAGUGGGGAUAGGGAGAUAUAAGGUAGAUAUUAGAAACACAACGUCCUCAUGUUUAUUUCAACUCUUGAAAUUUUCAUACACACCAUAAUGCAGAAAACAAACAUACAUUGUAACAUAUUACAGUUCUAAACCAAAACUAAAACUUUUAUGUUAUAGCAAUUCAGUUCUCUUCUUGAUGUAUAAUCCACUCAUGACAACCUUAACACAAUCAUUGGAAGUACAAAACCAAAACUGACUUAUGAAACGAAAUUCUCCACUUCCAUUUUCAAGAUAAAAACAAAAUAGAAAAAAAGAUUCUUUAUACCAUCAAGUUCAUAUAAAUGUUUCCACAACAGAUUUUUUUGCAAGUUUUAAUCUUUCAAACUAGCUAUUGAACUAUGAUAUAAGAUUAAAACAACCAAUGAUAAAAUUAAGGUUCUUUCUAACAUAUUUAUAAAAAUAUUACUAUGGAAUGACAACCAACAUUUUUAUUCAAAAGAUCUUUCAUAGAGAUUAUGAUUAAAACCAUUUUUGCUUUCAAAGUAUAAGGAUCUUACUUGUAACAAUAUUCAUCUAGGAUCCGGCACAAUUUAUUAGACGUUGUGUGAAAGUGGCAAACGUCGACUGCACCUUUUAGAGAUGGAUUCCCAUACUUUCUUCAGACCUGGUUUCUUCUGAUGUCUCUGAAGCAUCCUUAUGAAAUAGUUGAACAAAAAUUCAAGUUAUAAUAGAUGUGAUAAGUAACACGAUAUACAGUUAUGCUGCAUUUAGCUCACUGUAAAUGUCCUAUGUGCUUAUAACAUAGUCGAAUUUUUAUCAGCGUUGUUUCAUUGCCGAUCAUAUGACAUAGGGAUAGAUACAUGAUUAAGUGCAUUAAGAUAUAAUACAUGUCACUUCCUAGCAGAAACCCCUGUGAAAAGUAAUUCAACAAUUCCAAUCUGAAUCAUAAUUAAUGAGAUUAAUAAAAAUUUAACUACAUCCAAUAAUAUUCAAAAACUUUUUCAUUAACCAAUAAAUAGUGUUUAUGCUAUUAACUUUUUCACUCAAACGAUGCAUUCAAUCCACAUAGCACAAUAGGUAAAUAAAUAGAAGGGGAGAACAUGCCUAGAUUCUCUUAAUCUUUAUAAGCAUAAAGUGGCUAAAAUUUUCAAUAAGAUGGUCUACCUAUUGAACUUUAAGUGGUUGCAAACUCUGAGAACCUUUAUUUCGACAUUUUGAACAAAACAAAAUUGGUAAAAGUUAUGUGUAACAAUGUUCAGUUAUAAUUUCUAAAAUGUCCAUCAAUCAAGCUGGAUAAAAAACAUCCUUCCUAUGAAAUACCGACAAAGACACGGACACCAGACUCGACACUGAUUUGUCAACACUAAUGGUAAUUUGAGAAAAUCACAUAUGUCGGUAUUGGAUGCCUUCGAUCUGAAGUGUGUGUCUACAAAGCAUUAUCGACAGAAUCUUAUAUCAUGUCUCAUCAUUUGAAAAACUCUUCUAGGUAGAAGCAAUUAAUUGAUUUAUUAAGAUAAUAAUGAUAAUGAUGUACCUGGACCAAGGAAUAUAUCUAGCCAUGGUGUUCCUUUUCUAUUGUUUCAGUAAGCACCAAGUUCCGCAUGCCUGGCAAUAAAACUAGAUGUUGCUGCUGCAAAAUUUCUGUCUCUGAAACUCCCACUUCCACAAAUCUAUGCUUUUUCAGCGUAGGAUGAAAUUGUGAUAAUGAAGCAUUGAGAUAUUCAUCUAAUUUUCUCUUUCUACUAUAAGGAUUGGUGAAUAUCACAUCCUCAUUCGUGUUGUUUUUCUCCUUCAACACGUGGAUUCCCAUUUCUGUACUUCUUAACCCUUUGUAAUAAUGAAGCUUAAACUCCACAUAGAUCCAUUCAUUUUUUAAAUGUGCUUUGUCCAUUUCAGACUCCAAAUUGAUCCCGUGAAAUAUUUUACAGAGUUCAACAUUUUCUUCCAAAUUCAUUUCAAACAAAUAUGUAUGUCCCGGAUAAGGCAGACCAUAAUUAGAUUCAAAUUCUGGAGAUGUACACAGUCAUAACCAUUGACAAACAAAUUAACUUUGUGAACAAAUCCAACAUCCGGAAGAAUAAUAAUAAAAGUUAUAGAAGGGAUCUUUUUACAGAACCAGAAAGAAAUUGAAUGACCCCUGCUUUGGUGCUCGAACCAAUCUGGAAUCCUAAUCCUCUCUGUUCCGUUUGGGAAAGAAAGUGUGGUGCACCCAGCCUCAUGUAAUUGCUGUUAGUUUAGCAUAAGAUAUAUAUUACACAUUGUUGAUUAUAUGUGAAAUACUACAUAUCAAAUACUAUUGCAAGAAAAAACAACAACAAACCUGACUCAAUAACAUUCUUCUACUUGAGGAACUCAAUGAUUUACAUUCUAAUGCUUCAAGAUAUUUGAGAUUCGGUGGAAACCCUCUAAUUUCCUCAAGAUGCUUGCUUAAAUUCAAUAUGAGGGUCUCCAUAAGGUGACAUUCAUUAAGGCACUCAGGAAGAAUUUUGAAAUAGCCAAAGGAUAAGUCUAGAAAUUUCACAUUAACACACGACUUGAGAACUAUUUGGAGACAUUCAUAUUGGAGAUAUUUAGGAUUGAAAUCAAGAGCUUCCACAUUUGAAAACAUUAUAGAAUACAUUUUCUCAUUAUGUUUUGGGAACCUGAGCAUUUUACAUCCCCAUAGUGAUAAGCUGAGAUUUUGAAAUGAAAAUGGCAAUUCUCUUGUGGAAGUUAUACACAUUCCAAUCGCUUUUGUAUUUGUCAUCUUACAUAAUAGUUCUGGAAAACUCUUGAGUCUCUCACAAAAAGAGAGGUCCAAUUCCUCAAGAGAGGGCAGCCAUAAGGGUGGAAAACUCUCAAGCUUGAUGCAUCCAGAUGCAUUUAAGAUUUCAAGUUUAUUUAGGUUCCCAAUCGAAUCGUGAACUGCAAUUAAAUUAUCACAAAAUCGAAACGAGAAUUUUUCUAAAUUUGGAAGACCUGAGACAUUGGGUAUAUGGGUUAAAUAUUGACACUUGUCCAAUGUCAAGACUUUCAUAUGCUCAAACCUCUGCAUAAACACAAAGAAGAAACAAACAAAUAAAUUAAAAAUAAAACACUAUACUCUCAUAGUGAUAUUAUUUUCUUGACAUAAACAAAAUCAUUGUGAAUUUAUAAAUAUAUACAAUUAGAAAAUGAAAUUAUUUCACUUGCCUUGCUGCAAAUAAUAGAUGAUAGAGACACUGAGGAACAUCGAUUCAAUUUCAAUACUCUCAAACUGCUUGGAAGAUACUUGGGAUCUUUAGAAAAAGAGACAUUUUUAAUAAUAAGUGUUUUGAGAUUUGUCAUCUUCUUGAAGGCCUUUCCAUUCCAGUCUAUUACGGGAUCCGUUGAGCGAGAAUUCAGAUAUAUCAUCUCAAUUUUACUUGUUCCCUUUUAACAGAAAAAAAUAAAACUGAAUCAACCACAAUACAAAUAAAAUAUUGAGAACAUGUAAAUGUAAUUAAGGGUAAAAUAAAUAUUUGUUCAUAGAUAUCAAUCUUACUUUGUUUUCCAGUAAAAUAUGAACUAUGUCAUCACGACACCACAACCGACUACGUUUUUCAGGCUCUUUAGGUGAUUCUUUACGAAUGAUUUCUUUACCCAUGACCUCUAGCAAGUCAUGUAAUGUCACUUCAGACAAGUGGUAGCACCACCCACUAAUUUUUAUGAGAGACUUAUCAACCAACCCUCCAAUGUGGCUCUUUAUGCAAUAAUCAUAAUGUUGUUGAAGUAUCUCUUCGACUUCUGCCAAUCUACAUCCUUUGAAGAAACAAGCAAUAUCCAAAAAGACACUUUGUUGUUCUUCGCCCAAAGCAUCAAAGCUUACUUUAAGUAUCUUUUGGAUAUCUUCAUCUGGAAUUCUUUCAUACAUAUCUAAUGUAGACUCACAUUCUGCAAUACUCUUUCCAAACAAGUUGGAACCCACUACUUCUAUAGCUAAUGGAAGGCCAGAAGCAUACGCAACUGCUCGGUUUAAAAUCUCUUCAUAACUUGAAGGAACUUUGUAACUUUUAAAAGCCAUCCACCUCAACAAUUCAAGAGCAUUUUCCGUAGACAUCCCUUUUACUUCAUGCAUAAUUUCUACCUCAUGAUUGGUUAGUAAUUGUUUGUUACGAGUGGUAAUGAUAACUCUGCUUCCAGAGCCGAACCAAUCAGGUCCUCCAGCCAAAGCAUGCAGUUGUUUCAAAUUGUCAACAUCAUCGAGAAUCAAAAGAAUCUUCUUUGUAUGUAGCCUUUUCUUUAUAUAAGGAAUUCUCUCACUAACACCUCCUAAGUUAAUUUUCAGUGAAAGUGUUUUUAAAAGGAGUUCCUCCUGGAGAUGUUUCAAUUGAUUUGAAGCUGAAUUCUCUCUCACGUUUUCAAGAAAACAUGAGCAUUCAAAUUGAUCAGCAAUAAAAUUAUAAAUUCCUUUUGCAAGUGUUGAUUUUCCCAUGCCUCCAAUACCAUAAAGUCCUAUCAUGCGGACUCCACCAUUAGAUCCUUUAUCAAGAAGCGAUUUCACUUGUUGUACUCGAGACUGCAACCCAACAGGGUAAGUGGCAACAUGUAAGGGCUGACGACUGAUCUUGUUGUUGACAUAUUUGACUAUCUUUCCAAUAAACUUGUAUUCAUAUCUAUUCAUGUCCAAUAAGAUAAGUCAGUAUGUAACAACAUCACAGUCACAUCCAUUUACUCAUAAUAUAUCAUACAUUUCUAACUAUUUUGACUUAUAAAUAACUAAUACUUGUUUAAAAAUGUAAAUAAAAAGGUGUUUCCAAUUUAGGCUUUAAGAUGGUAUUACUGAGGUUUAAAAUUUAAAUAAAUAAAAUGCAAAAAGGAAAACAAGAAUUAAGUAAAGAGGAGUACCCAGGACUAAAAUGGUAGCCGGACAAGUUAGCAGCUUCGGUCAGAGCCAACUUCCAUUGAUGCAACCGCUCCAUGUUUUUCUUGUUAUUUUGGAAACUCAUUUUGUGCUUAGUGAGAUGUUCACCAUAACUCCCACUUUGGUGUCGUAUGUGACUAGGAUCCACGCCAUAGAAAACAGGCAAAACAAGACGACCCUUUGUCUUGUAGCAGUGCAUGAUGUGGACAAGUUCGUUCAAACAAAAUGAAGAAGAGGCAUAGUUGAUAGAAAACACAGGAAUGAAGAUCCUAGACUCUUCAAUGGCAUUGUCGAGUGAUGGUUUGAUUUCAUCCCCUCUUUGCAGGUCACGGUCAUCAAUGAAGGUGUGGAUUCCCUUGUCAGUAAGAGCCUUGUAGAGAUGACCAGUAAAACCGUUACGAGUGUCACUGCCCCUGAAGCUGAGGAACACUUGGUAAGUGAAUCGAUAGGAAAAUGAAGAGGAUGAGGAAGGUGAUUGCAUAGCCAUGAGAAUUGAGAAUGCAGAAUAUGAGUUAAGUUUUUGUGGUCUGAAAUGUGGAGUCUUCGGUAUGAGUUUGUGGUGUAUAUAACAAGGACAAAACUUAUGACAAAAAUGGUCUGUUAAACUUCCUGACCACUUCCUAUAGCCGUGUGGACCAAUCACACAUAUUCUGACCGAUGAUGUAAGCAAGUUCUUUAAUUAAUCCUCUGGUCAAUGGUCUAACUUCUUGGAUGUUGCCAUUGUUCAUAAUCUUGUUUUCUUCUUGCUGUCUUUCUUCAUUUUUUCGCGUCAUAUGCCAAGGAUUUUCUUUACAAGUUUUUUGUGCAACCAAUAUUGCAUUAAACUAGCACUAGUACAAGGACCCCCAUUAUACUCUAGUGCUAAUAUAAUCAACCUUGCAAUUAUGUAAGCACUCGUUGCAUUUUUCACAUUUCUUAAUAUUACUAAAUUGUUCUUUGUUUGUUUGGAUUUAAUUUAACUUAUGUGUCCAAAUAAAACUAUAUGCGUCAAAAACAAAAAUAAUAGUUCCGGUACUUAUUACACUAUUCUUUGGUUUUUAAUUAAUUUAUUUUAGUUUUUUCCGAAAGUUGAACAGCAAUCACAUUGAAAAAGACAUGAAUACGAGGUAUAUCUUUUUUGGAGGGUACAAAAAAUCCUAAGAAAAGUUGAAUACCGGGUAUAUGUGAUUCUUUUGUAAACUAUGUUUUCUUAUAAUUAAUAACUUUAAAAAGAAUCAGCAUUAGGUCCAAGGUUUGAUCCCUGACCGAUGUAUGGAAAAACAGAAGAGUUAAACUCUUUAAUGAAUAGAUUGGUUCUUAUUGUUGCCUCGUUAGUAUUUCUCGGUGUCAGAAUUUUAGGUCAAUUAUUAGUAGAGCUAACUAAAAAUAUAGUUACUUCGACUAGGACAUGAGUGACCUUAUUUAUUUGUCUCUCGAGCACAAUGUGAGAGUUUGUAAAUUAAGAAGCAAAACUAAUUAUUCAUUAUAUAAUAAAACAUAACCAAACUAUGUAGCAUCCUCUCUAACAUUACACGUGUUUUUGGCGAUCACAAAAACACCUUCAUCACCUCUUAAGCACAUGCCAAUAUAUGUCCAAUUUUGCCGAAAUGAAAAUUAAGCAUCUAUAUUGCACUUAUACCUUCCUUCUUGCAGCCCUUGCCACCGUGCUUUGUGUUGUCUGCUGCAUCAUCGCAAUCUUCUUCCACAUCAAUUGUUUUUGAUGUACGGGAGCCAUGCCUACCUCUUCUGGUCGUGGCAUUAGCUAUGAACCAGUCCUCUUGAUACCACUUCUGCAAUUUACUCAUUCACAUCUUGUCAAACCUUCCUGCUUUGUUGCUUCUAUAGACUCCAUAAAGUAACAACCAUAUAGUUAGCAAUAACAAGAAGACUGUUGUCUUUGUUGUAUUUGUUUUCAAUAAAUCUUUAUUAAUUUCAUUCCAUAUCCUUCAAUCCAAUAGCCCUUUUUCUUUUCUUUAAUUAUUAUUGUUUCAGUGUGAUUCUAUGGAUAUUUAUGUGAUUCUAAAAAAGAAAUUCUGAUUGCAAUAUCCUUUAACCUUUUUAAUCACAUUCUCAGGCAUCAUAGAUAAAAUCUGAAGCUUAAACUCCACAUAGAUCCGUUCAUUUUUUAAAAGUGCUUUGUCCAUUUCAGACUUGAAAUUGAUCCCGUGAAAUAUUUUACAGCAUUGAAUAUUUUCUUCCAAAUUCAUAUCAAACAAAUAUGUAUGUCCCGAAGAAGGAAGACAUUUAAAUUGGAGUUCUGGAAAUGUACAUUCAUAACCAUUGACAAAAAAAUUAAAUCCUAAAGUAUACUUAACAUCCGGAAGAUAUAUAUUACACAUUGUCGAUUAUAUGUGAAAUACUACACAUCAAAUACUAUUGCAAGAAAAAACAACAACAAACCUGACUCAACAAAAUCUUCUAUUUGAGGAACUCAAUGAUUUACAUCCUAAUGCACGAAGACAUUUGAGAUUCGGUGGAAACCCUCUAAUUUCCUCAAGAUGCUCGUUAAAAUUCAAUAGGAGGGUCCUCAUAAGGUGACAUUCACUAAGGCACUCGGGAAGAAUUUUGAAAUUGCCAAAGGAUAAGUCUAGAAAUUUCACAUUAACACACACAACUUGAGAACUAUUUGGAGACAUUCAUAUGGGAGAUUGCAAUCAUUGAAACGAAGACCUUCCACAUUUGAAAACAUUAUUGAAUACAUUUUAUCAUUAUGUUUUGGGAACCUGAGCAUUUCACAUCCCUGUAUUGAUAAGCUGAGAUUUUGAAAUGAAAAUGGCAAUUCUCUUAUGGAAGUUAUACACAUUCCAAUCUGUACAAAUGUGUGUGUUAAAGGGUGUGUUGCUUGUAAUCCUCGGAAUACAAACACACAUUUGAAUUUUUUUUUUUUUUUUUNUUCUUUCUAACAUAUUUAUAAAAAUAUUACUAUGGAAUGACAACCAACAUUUUUAUUCAAAAGAUCUUUCAUAGAGAUUAUGAUUAAAACCAUUUUUGCUUUCAAAGUAUAAGGAUCUUACUUGUAACAAUAUUCAUCUNNNNNNNNNNNNNNNNNNNNNNNNNNNNNNNNNNNNNNNNNNNNNNNNNNNNNNNNNNNNNNNNNNNNNNNNNNNNNNNNNNNNNNNNNNNNNNNNNNNNGGAUCCGCCAUAAUUUAUUAGACGCUGCGUGAAAGUGGCAAACGUCCACUGCACCUUUUGGAAGUUCGGGACAGAAGGGAUACAUCUGGAGGCCCUGAGAGAUGGAUUCCCAUACUUUCUUCAGACUUGGUUUCUUCUGAUGUGUCUGAAGCAUCCUUAUGAAAUAGUUGAACAAAAAUUCAAGUUAUAACAGAUGUGAUAACUAACACAAUAUACAUUUAUGCUGCAUUUAAAAUAGUCAAAUUUUUAUCAGUAUUGUUUCAAUGCCAAUCAUAUGACAUUGGGACAGAUACAUCAUACAUGAUUAAGUGCAUUAAGAUAUAAUAUAUGUCACUUCCUAGCAGAAACCCCCGUGAAAAGUGAUUAAACUAUUCCAAAUCCAAUCUGAAUCAUAAUUAAUGAGAUUAAUAGUAAACUUAACUUCAUCCAAUAAUAUUCAAAAACUUUUUCAUUAACCAAUAAAUUUACUGUGUUUAGGCUAUUAACUUUUUCACUCAAAAGAUGCAUUCAGUCCACACAGCACAAUAAGUAAAUAGAAGGGGAGAACAAGCCUAGAUUUUCUUAAUCUUUACAAUUUCAACAUCAAAUGUCUAAAAUUUACAAUAAGAUGGUCAAAAUAACAUUAGUAACAUUUAUGCAUACUCUGAGAACCUUUAUUUCGACAUUUAGCAAGGAGAAAAUCAAAAUAACAUUAGUAACAUUUAUGUGUAACAAUGUUUUCAAUUAUAAUUUCUAAAAUUUCCAUCAAUCAAGCUGGAUAAAAAACAUCCUUCCUAUGAAAUACCGACACAGACACGGACACCAAACUCGACAUUGAUUUGUCAACACCAAUAGUAAUUUGAGAAAAUCACCUGUGUUGGUAUUGGAUGCCUUCGAUCAGAAGUGUGUGUCUACAAAGCAUUUUGGACAGAAUCUUAUAUCAUGUCUCGUCAUUUGAAAAACUCUUCCAGGUAGAAACAAUUAAUUGAUUUAUAAAGAUAAUAAUGAUAAUGAUGUACCUGGACCAAGGAAUAUAUCUAUCCAUGGUGUUCCUUUUCUUUUGUUUCAGUAAGCACCAAGUUCCGCAUGCCUGACACUAAAGCUAGAUGUUGCUGCUGCAAAAUUUCUGUCUCUGAAACUCCCACUUCCACAAAUCUAUGCUUUUUCAGCGUAGGAUGAAAUUGUGAUAAUGAAGCAUUGAGAUAUUCAUCUAAUUUUCUCUAUCUACUAUAAGGAUUGGUGAAUAUCACAUCCUCAUUCGUGUUGUUUUUCUCCUUGCGCACGUGGAUUCCCAUUUCUGUACUUCUUAACCUUUUAAUAAUAUUCUCAGGAAUCCAACUAAACUGAAGCUUCAACUCCACAUAGAUCCAUUCAUUUUUUAAAAGUGCUUUGUCUAAUAUUUUAUAGUGUUCAAUAUUUUCUUCCAAAUUCAUAUCAAACAAAUAUGUAUGUCCCGAAAAAUACGGCAGUCUAAAUUCGAAUUUUUGAACUGUACAUUCAUGACCUUUGACAAACAAAUUAAAUCCUAAAUAAUAUUCAACAUUCGGAAGAAUAAUAAUAAAAGUUAUAGAAGGGAUCUUUUUACAGAACCAGAAAGAAAUUGAAUGACCCCUGCUUUGAUGCUCGAACCAAUCUGGAAUCCUAAUCACCUCUGUUCCGUUUGGGAAAACAAAUGUGGUGCACCCAGCCUCAUGUAAUUGCUGUUAGUUUAGCAUAAGAUAUAUAUUACACAUUGUUGAUUAUAUGUGAAAUACUACUUAUCAAAUACUAUUGCAAGAAAAAACAACAAACCUGACUCAAUAACAUUCUUCUAGUUGAGGAACUCAAUGAUUUACAUUCAAAUGCAUCAAGACAUUUGAGAUUCGGUGGAAACCCUCUAAUUUCCUCAAGAUGCUGGUUGGAAUUCAAUAGGAGGGUCCUCAUAAGGUGACAUUCACUAAGGCACUCAGGAAGAAUUUUGAACUGACCAAAGGUUAAGUCUAGAAAUUUCACAUUAAUACACCACUUGAGAACUAUUUGGAGACAUUCAUAUGGGAGAUUGCAAUGAUUGAAUUCAAGAACAUCCACAUUUGAAAACAUUAUAGAAUACAUUUUCUCAUUAUGUUUUGGGAACCUGAGCAUUUCACAUGCCAAUAAUGAUAACUGGAGAUAUUGAAAUGAAAAUGGCAAUUCUCUUGUGGAAGUUUUACACAUUCCAAUCUCUUUUGUAUUUGUCAUCUUACAUAAUAAUUCUGGAAAACUCUUGAGUCUCUUACAAUAAGUGAGGUCCAAUUCCUUAAGAGAGGGCAGCCGCAAGGGUGGAAAAUUCUCAAGCUUGAUGCAUCCCCAUGCAUUUAAGAUUUCAAGUUUAUUUAGCUUCCCAAUCGAAUCGUGAAUUGCAAUUAAAUUGUCACAAUAUUGAAACGAGAAUUUUUCUAAAUUUGGAAGACCUGAGACAUUGGGUAUAUGGGUUAAAUAUUGACACUUGUCCAAUGUCAAGACUUUCAUAUCCUCAAACCU
rnacentral:lncRNA from 1 species